UCUACAAAAAUCAAACCAUAUUUUGCGGAAGAUGAGCUCAAUGACCUCAUGGGCGCGCUCUGGUAUAAACUCACAAAUAGUUUAACAAGUGUGUGCUGUGUGCGUGUGUUUAUAUUAUCAUUAAGUUUAUUUGCUGUUUUAACUUUUGCAGGCCAACAUGGGAAAACAAGAAGGAUCAUAUCUAUGCAAACCAUUUGGUAGCAAUGAAACGAGACUUCUAUUUCCAUCGAAUCGUGAUGAGCUCAAGAGAAGUGGCGAAAAAGGCUUAUGAUCUUAUCAACAGAGAAUUAGCUCCCCAGCGUGAUCCUGUGGCUCUAGGAGGAGAGUUUCUAGCUUGCGAAAUAGAGUUGGACCCUGAUGAUUAUAUCACUAUUUAUGUUGAGAAAAGCUCCAAGAAUUUGUUGCAAAUCAUACGCGAUUUAGAAACUCCAGACAAUUUAGACUACUCCUAGUUAGGUCUAGGGAUGACAAUAAUCUCCAGCGGGUAGGGUACCCACGGAUAUUCAACCCUAACGGGGAAGAUAUACGAGGAUAAACGGGUGACGAGUAUGGGGAUCCUCAGUAUUCGGAUUUUUGAAUCGGGUACGGGGCGGGUAUGAUAUUUUGAUAUUCGUCCCCGUCCCCAUCCCCACCCAUUUAGCAUGGAAAUUAAUAUUGUUUUAUAUAUAUAUUAUUUAUAUAGAAAAUUUCAUAUAAGUGUACCUUGAGACAUUUUCUUCCGUAUAAGUCCACAUCAACAUUUUUACCCAUACAAGUCCACUUUGCAGGCUCAAUUUUUUUUAUCAUGACUAUCUUACCCUUAUUUUUCAAAAUAUCUCAUAUCUCUCUCCUCUGUUUCUCACGUCUCACCCAUUCAUUUGGUUCUCUCUCUCUCUCNNNNNNNNNNNNNNNNNNNNCUCUCUCUUCUCUCUCUCUCUCUCUCUUCUCUCUCUCUCUCUCUCUCUCUCUCUCUCUCUCUCUCUCUCUCUCUCUCUCUCUCUCUCUCUCUCUCUUCGUUACAAACCAGAUCUGAUCCAUCAUCGAUUCAACCUCUUGACAAAGCCGCCUCCUCGCUGAUUCAACGUCGUCGGAGCUUCGUCGCACCUCUCCCGCCGACUCUUUCACCUGAGACUCGCGUUUUUUGAGCAGUUGCCGACCUACAGGAGAUUUUGGAGGAGUUACACCGCGGCGACGCCUCGACUCCUCUCCGGAUACCACAGCUCAGCAAGCCGACGCCUUGACUCCAGAAACCGCACCGACGCCUCGACUUCGGUGCAAGGGGACGGGCGAAGAUUUAUGUUCUCCGAUCUACUCUCGGUUACCACCCAGCGAAGCCAGCCACUACGUCUCUAGAAGCCGCAUGAAGUCACCGGAGACUCUUGCCGGAGGUCGCCGGAGACGUUGCUACAAAGGAGGUUGUCAGAGGUGAGAGUGGGUUUUGGUGGAGGUGAGAGUUGGUUUCAGUGGAGGUGUGUAGUUUUUGAUAUGUUUGGUAGUAGGUUUUGGUGGAGGUGAGAGUAGGUUUUGGUGGUGGUGAGAGUAGGUUUCAGUGGAGGUGAGUGUAGUUUUUGAUGUGUUUGGUAGUAGGUUUUGAUGGUGGUGAGAGUAGGUUUUGGUGCUUGGUAUCGAUAGUAGCUUUUGUUGCUGUCGAUAGUAGCUUAGCUUUUGUUGCUACAGGUAGUAGCUUUUGAUGGUGGUGAGAGUAGGUUUUGAUGUGUUUGGUAGUAGGUUUUGAUGGUGGUGAGAGUAGGUUUUGGUGCUUGGUAUCGAUAGUAGCUUUUGUUGCUAUCAAUAGUAGCUUUUGUUGCUAUCAAUAGUAGCUUUUGUUGCUACAUGUAGUAGCUUUGUUGUUGGUAGUAAUAACUUUUUUGUUUGAGGUAAUAGAUUUUGUUGUUGCCAGUAGUAGGUUUUGUUGUUGGCAGUAGUAGCUUUUGUUGUUGGCAGUAGUAGCGUUUGUUUGUGACGAUAGUAUCUUUUGUUGAUAAUGGUAGUAUCUUUUCUUGCUGGCAGUAAUAGCUUUUGUUGUUCGCUGUUGUAACUUUUGUAGCUAGGGAUAGUAACUUUUGUUGUUGACGAUAGUAGUCUUUGUAGUCGGCAGUAGUAGCUUUUCUUGCUAGGGAUAAUAGCUUUUCUUGCCGGCGGUAAUAGUUUUUCUUGCUGGCGGUAAUAGUUUUUCUUGCUGGCGGUAGUAGCUUUUGUAGUCGGUGGUAGUGGUAGUAGCUUUUGUAGUCGGUGGUAGUAACUUUUCUAGCAGGCGGAAGUAGCUUGUCUUGCUGGCAAUAGUAGCUUUUCUUGCUGGCGAUAGUAGUUUUUUUUGUUGACGGUAGUAGCUUUUGUAGUCGGGGGUAGUAGCUUUUCUAGCUAGGGAUAGUAGUUUUUCUUGCUUGCAGUAGUAGUUUUUCUUGCUAGCGGUAAUAGCUUUCGUAAUCGUCAGAAACCUCGCCGGAAGUCGGCUGGAGACAUCACCGGAGUUCGUUGGAGACCUCACCGGAGAUCUGCCGGAGACUUUUCUGGGGAGGAGAGUGGUUGUUGAUUUUUUACAAUUAUGGCAUUUUUGUAAAUAUAAGAGAGAAAAUCUAAUUUUUUUAGUUGGAUGUCAGUUUGUAAUUUAGUUGAACUUCAAUACCUUUAUUUAAGCUUGGGCGGACUUAUGUGUGUAAAAAUGUUUAGGUGGACCUCUAUAGGAGAAAAUGUCUCAAAGUGGACUUCUAUGUAAUUGGCCCUUAUUUAUACAUAGAUAUUUAUGUAAAAUCUUUUGUAAUAUUUUUUUUACUAUGAUUCUCUUAAUGAAUAUUCAUAAAAACUUCAUUUUUAACCGAGACUUAUAUUCGUUUUUGUUGGAUUGAAUCAAGAAACUUAUUUAUAUAUGUAUUUGAUUUUAUUUUUAUAUUUCUAUAUUUCAUAAUUAUUGUUAAAAAAUUAAUUAUUACAUAAUUGUUAACGGGGAUCAUGACGGGUAUGGGAACGUACGUAAUCCCCAAAAGGGACGGGUACGGGGAAUACUCAUUAUCUAAUUACGGGGAAUGAGACAGGUAUGAGAAUAAGGAAUAAAAAAUGGUACGUGUAUGAUAUUUUGAUACCCUGACCCUACCUUACCCUUUUGCCAUCUCUAGUUAGGUCAAACUUGGUUUGGAGGUUGAAAUUUAUUAAUUUCAUGUUUUGUUUUGGACAACUCUCUUGAGGGGUGUUUUGGUCAAUGCACUUGGAGCUGGAAACGCAAGGCCAUUUUGGUCAUAUAAUAGAAUUCAAGUACAAUGUGACUGCAAUUAGUGUUUGUGACUUGGUGUGUGUAAACAAGAAUAGGUAAAAGAAUCAAAAGUCUGAACGAUCAAGCAUGUCUACCAAGGUCAUUCUCCUUGGGAACCUAGCUGGCAGUCUCAGGUAUGUCGCGUCUUCGAUCUCAAUAGGCAGAUGUGUUGCCACUAUGACAAUGCCGCCUUUCUUUCUAUGCUCUGCAAUGAUGUACUCGAGCAGCUUCACUCCGUCGGUGUCCAAUGCAACAGAGGGCUCGUCGAGCAACCAAAUAGGCCUGUCGAUUGCUAGCAACCUUGCGAGCUGGAGUCUCUUCCGCUGCCCCAUUGAGAGCAUUCUCGCCUUCUCUUUGGCCAAUCUGCCGAGGCCCAUCAGCUCCAGAGCAGGCAGGGAAUUCCCCAUCUUGCCUUCGAGGACUUCAAACCACUGGACAUUGUCGAGGACUGUGAACUUCUCUUUGACAGCGUCUUUGAGUGAGAGCCAGUUGAGCUGGAGCUUGUACUGGUGGAAAACUCCUGAAUCCGUGAUGUCAUGCCCGUUCCAGAGGACCUGGCCAGCAGAAGGCUUAGAAAAGCCAGCUAACAUGCGCAGGAAGGUACUCUUGCCCGAGCCAUUUGUGCCCAUCAGCACAAGUGCUCCACCAUCAUGUACUGUGGCAUUUACAUGACGCAAGAUCUGCUGAGCAUUCCUCAUACAAGAGACGUUGUUGAGGAGAAGACGAGGGAUCGGGGGCUUUCGCAAAGACAUUGCAGUCUAUCAACUGAUAAGAAGCAAAAGCAGCAUGAUGAAACGAAAAAUCGGUCAUAGAAUGGAAAGCAUAAAGUUUAGGAAAAACAAACAUAUAAUGCACGAAUCAUUCGUGUCAUAGAACACAAAUGGCUAAAACGUGAGCUAUUUCUUUUCGAAUUCACAAUCAUAUAUUAACUAUUAUCGCAAAGCGCAAGCAAAGAUCAUAGAAGGUCACAUCCCCACCCAGAUGCUCCAUAACACGAAAAUCAAGGCUAAAUACGAAAUAGAUGAAGAUUGGUCCAAUCAGGCAUUUCGUCAAACAGGUUAUGUGCGUUAUUCUACAGAGAUGAAUACUAAAAUAACCGAAAGGGAAGUAAUCAAAAUAAGCUCAGCAAGUUAAUAUGAACUCAAUUACCAGUAAAAUUGCAAACACUCCUGAUUGAACAUCAAUCUCAAACACGCUAACAACUUAACACUUUCUGGUUUUCCCUGACCGAGUUUGAAAAAUACGAUAGAAAUGUGAAACAUUACGAAUCCAACAAAUAACAGAAGCAAAUUAAACUUCAUAACCCAUCAACAACAAGAAACACAUUGUUCAUUCUGUAAAAUGAAAUUAACAAACAGGGUAGCGGCAGAGCUUUCAUACCAGAACAGGGUAGUAGUCCGUCACCAACACGCACUGCUAUUAGGGCUUCACGUAUUAUUCUUUUAUUAAGCCCAAACCCAAACGCUGCAAAUCCUGCAAUCAAGGAGCUGAGAUUAGAAUAUUGCAUUAACACAGAUGCACAUAAAUCUUUAUAUCUUAACCGAUCAUCACUCUUUGUUACGACACCAUGUAUACACGAAUUUUUGUUUUCUUAUGAGAGAAAAGUGAAAGUGAACUUUCGAUUUUUAACCUUCGCUUCUAACUCACUCUUCAUCGGUUAAUUUUUCUAGUUUAGACUGGCGUGAAAUGUCCCCAAAUUGGAUGAAGAUUGUCAUAACGUUCUACACUGUGUUGAUGAAUCUCUUGUAUCAAGCCUCAUAUUAUAGGUAGGCGAGACUCAAUUCAAUUUGAUCCAAGUCGUCUGUAAGUCUGUAACAAUAGGCCAGACACAUACAUAUAUUUUCAUUGAGAGCUUGAGUGCCCACUAGAAACACUCAAAACACCUCGAGGUACAAAUUUAUCGACAGAAAGAUUGGUAUCAACUCUUGACCACAAUAGUUGGUUAUCUCAACUGCUACCAUCAUCACUAUGUUCUUUUCAAACAUGCAGCAGAGUAUAGUAAUUUUUGCCACAAACUCCAGAAUAUUUACCACUAUUUUCCAAAUAAAGAUUGUUCUAACCCAUACUGAAGUGAGAAAAAAAGAAAUUGGGAAAGGGUAUUAUGGGAGGCUCAGAUUAGCACAUAUAGGCCAGACAAGGGAAAAAGGGAAGCCGCCGUGGCUGCAACCAAACACGGUUGCCGGCGAAAAUGACAAAAGCGUCAUUUCACCGGCCAUCCGGGGUCGCCUCGCCAGAACAAACGGCCCCCCCUAGAACCGCAAUGCCCCUAUUUCCCACACUCCGAAACUUCAUCGUCACAGCCUCGUUGGGUUUAGGGUUUAGAGAGAAAGAGAGAAAGAAAGAGAAGAGAUACAUAUAUACACACACACACAUACACAUUAUGUGUGACACAUUACAGAGAGAAAGAGAGAGAGAGAGUGUGGAGGGGCCGGAACUCAUCGGCUCCGGCGAUGACCUUGAGAGAUCGGCGGCGGAGCCUCGUUCUUUGAUCGGAGUGUGAUUGAAGACCUAAUUUUGGGGGAUAGCUACAUAUUUAUAGUCGCCUCACUCAGCCCUGUUGGGUUUAUUACCUCUUUGCCCCUCUUACAAAUUUAGUGGGUCGCAUAAGCGGACUGGGCCUGAGCGGGCUAGGCGGAGGUAUUAUUGGGCUAGGCGGAACCUACGAUGGUUGGGCCUAGGCAGGUUAAGCGGCCCACCUUCAAAACAAUUUAGCUAAAAAGCGGGUCUUGGAUUCUUCAAAGCAAUGACCUGCACUUGUUUUUCGAUGUGGUAAAGAAAAAAUACUACACGAAAAAAUGGUGGCAAGCUGAGUCUAUGAUCCACGGCUUGAAAAAAAUGGGGUAGAGGUUGGUUUUCUUCGAAUGCAAUUUACAUGGCUGCUCGACCCUUCUGAUGGAGUACAGACUUAUGCACAACUUCCCCGCUCGAGCUAACAAAGUAGGUGACCUGCAACACCGAAAAGUGAACACAUAAAAAUGCAUCAGUUGGUUAACUAAGGAAUUGGCGGAUUGCCGUGUUUUGUGAAAUAGAAUUGCAACGAAACACCAGACGAUAGGAAUACGCACCAUUUCUAGAGAGCUGACUCUAUGAAGAAGAAACUCGACCUCUGAAUCUCUGUGUGGUUGCAAGGGUAAGGAAACAAAGUAUAGUCAACAAGAAGUUGCAUGUAUAAGAUAAAAUGUGGAUCAAACUAAGGGUAUACAGAACUGAAAUGUUCACCUUCUUAGUACUGAUGUCUCAGAAGUUAGUGCAUUCAUUGAGCCCGGGUUCCCAAUGUAGCUCAGGCUACCUUGUUGGACAUUGCUAGUGCAACCCUGUCCACUGAUAUACGCAUUCUGGAGGACAUAGAGACAAGGAUUACAAAGUUUUGAGUAAGAUUUGUCAUCUGACUUAUGAUCGGAUACAAAGAACUACCGGUUCUUACCACUUCAUAUUUCAUAAAACUAUGGUGUAGAGACUCAACAACUUGUUUUGCUUCCAUUCCCUCUUCAUUAUCACCGCAUUUAGCCAAUGGGUGGAAACCAACAACUAUGCGCCUAUAUGCAAAACGCAUUACAGCAAGUUAGCGAUUGGAAGUUAUCCUAAACUUCACUCAGUUGAGCAAUCAGUUCUUAAGAUCAUCUCUUUUAUACUACAAGAAUCAAAUACUUGAACCAAAAAUUAGAACAAGAAAUCAAAAUCUUUGAAUUGCAUUGCCAAGAUUAUAGUAAAUGUGAAACCAGAAAUAAUACAAGUCAUCAAAUAGAAGUGUCCAAUGUAUCAAUAUUUGGAAAAACGUUUCUCAAAUUCCUUCCACCUUUUUUGGGUUUUGAAAUCUUAUGGAUCACCAGGAAUAGGAAUUAACAAGAAAUAGACAAGGCCAUACAGUAGAUUAAUUUUACCAGUCACUGCUGGUUGCCUCUAGUGUCCUUGUCAGCCAAUGUAAUUGAUUGUAUCCAAACUCACUUGAUGUUUCCGAGAUUAAAACCUUCCCCUUUGAAAUAAGUUCGUAAGAAAUAAGAACCCAGAAACUACAUACAUAUAUACAGAUCAAGGAUAAGUAACAUAUGAGAAGGAUGAGGAUGAGGCAGAAACAAUUUACGGCUUGAAAUGAUUAAAUGGACAAUCGCCACCUAUUAGUGAAACAUGAAUUACAGAAGGAUAUGACUAACAUAUGAACUGAUCAUGGAUUACUAUCAGGUAACUUUUUUUUCUUAUUCCAAAGAGACAAAACAUAUGAUCUAAUAGUAACUUCAAAUAUACAUAAAGCUGUCAUGAACAUCAGUGCUCAACAUGAACAAGAUGAAAGGAGCUAAGCCAAUGCCAAAAUGUAAAUAUGAUUGGACUGAUUAAUGGAACAACAACCCAAUGCGUACCUCAAUUGACCCAGUAUCCACACCAAUGAGGUCUAAGGUUUUCUCAUAAGGUAGUCUUAUCUGCUUCUGGAAGUAACCCCCUCCAUAUCUGCCUGAUACUGUAGUAGUAUACCAGGGAACCUUCAGUGAUGAAAAAUGCAGGGUACCCUGUAAAAGAGUACAUCCAGAGCUGUUGCUAACACUUACAAACCAUUGAAACUUUACUAGCAACUAGAAUCGAGGAUGCAGCUCAAGAAACUGAGAAGAAGAAAACGACCCUACAUUCUGCAUGAGUGGAUCAUCCUUCCCAAGAUCACUGAUAUCCACCACAAAUUUUGCCUUGUACUUCUUUGCCACCCUCGCCAUCUUUUACCAACAAGAAGGACCACAAUUAAACCAGUAAAAAGGAAAUCUUGAAAAGGCAAUUAGUAGAUGAAGAAUGUGGUAAAUGUCACUUUCAAGAUAUAGUAGUUCAUAACCAAGAAUCUAAUACAAAUGAACCACCAAAGCAAAGGUGACAAACUUAAAAGAAUCAAAACCCACGACCCCACUCCUCAAAUAAAUGCCUUAUUCUUGACCCCAUUAAUUCUCAGAAAGGUGUAGAGGUUUAGCUUAAUUUUUCACAAGGGUGCAGGAAGAUUCCUAUGCAAACAGUACAUAGAUGCUUAUCCUUAUCUUUAUCCAAUCUUCCCAACAUUUCUACCCAGCACCCAGUUUGGAACAUCCAACAACAUUAGCAAACAAUAAAGAUCGUCACUUUAUACAAUAGGAGACGAAACGAGCUAUAUACCCCCCAACAAGCAAAAACUAAACACUACGCAAAUCGAAAUAUGCAAGAAGCAUUACGAUUCCAAGAAAACUUUUACCUGUUUGAGAAGAUGGGUCUGUUGCUUGAGAGGUCUGAACCCUCCUCUGACGCUGAUGAAGUAAAGAUCUCUGCUUUCACUUGUUCUAUGGAGGUACACAGAGUUCUGAGGCUGACCUAGUUGAAAGGCAAGGUAGAGACAUAAGCAGAGACUCACUUGCGCCACUAUAGUUGGAACCCAUAAUGGUUUCUUCUCCAUUUUUUAUCACACUCCCUCUGUCUCUGACUCUCUGAGUGCUCAGUGUCCACUUAUAGUUCUGAUCUCAUGAAUGAAAACCUAAGACAUCCCACAGUAGUAUAUACUUUAAGUCGAUAAUAUUAUGAUCAUGUGCGUGUCGCGUCACGAAUAAGAUACCCGAAACAACUGAAUGCAUCGUUAGCUUUUACUUGUGAGAACAAGACAAUGAGAUUGGUGUUAUUAUUCUGAAUGGGGCCAACAUGUGUUAAAUUCUUGACUGUUCGUCCCUGUCAGGUAGUAUGGAUUUUUCAGGGCUCUGCUGUUUGUUGAAGAUGAAGUAAAUUACUGUAAGCAAAUAACUGAAGGAAUAUGCUUCAUUUUCAACAUGUCAUUGUGUAUGUCAUAUAUGUAGGUCAUGGCCUUCCCCUUUUCUUUUCACCUGAGAUAUGUAUGUACAAAGAUUAUUCUGACCAAGAUAUAAGAAAACUGCAUUCCAAAGGCACCAGACAUUGGGAAAGAGAUACUCUUAUCAAUAUAAUUUCUUUCUACACUAAUCCGCAGUUUUAAAAGCUCAUUUGUUCCUACAAUGUGUAAAAAGCACUAUUUCCCUUUUAUCCCGUAAGAAAUAGGAUGCUAAAGUACAGUAUACAUAAGAUCUAAGUCAUGCCACCAUCUCCAGUGCAGUAGACAUAUCCCAACACUUCGAAAAAGUUUCACUUCCAGCGAGCUCUUCAAACUCAGUUUCUUCAUCCUCAAAAGCCUGUUGCUUGCUUUCUUUCAGUCCAGGGUACCUGGCCUCAACCCGAACCAUUAAUAAUGCCAGAUAGAACAUUGGCAAUACAAUCAAGAAUAAUCUCAAAAAGCAAUCCUGUGCCACUAUCAGUGACCAGUUCAAUGUUACAAUCACCAGUAUAUACAAAUGAAAACAUUACUAAGUAUACAGUGGCAGCACUUUUUUAAAAUGAGAUAACUACUGCAGGGGUACACCGCCUUUUGAGAAGUUUCUAGUUGAACGAUUGCACCCUCAGGGAGCUAGAUUGAACAACCUGGCAUCAUGUCAAGCAUAACUUCCCUCACAACACAGCAACUCGUCCAACUAACAGUGCUCCUCAAUUUUAGAUUUAGUUGCUGAUCCAUCUUCUUUUCCGAGCUGGCCGUUCUGGUUUGAUCUCAGAUUCUACCACAGGAGGGUCACUAUUAGGGGAAGGCAGCAGUUCGGUCUCAAUCUUUUUGAUUGUUGAUGGUUCUUUUUCGCUCGGCAAUGGAAGCUUGAACCGCUCACUUCGUUUCUUCAACUUCUCAACGGUGUCCAGGUGACGGCCCUCCAAUGUCGUGUCUGUAUCUAAUGGUUUUGUGUCACCAUCCUUAAUAUCCUGAUCACCAGCAUUCUCCUCAGGCAAUGGAUGUUGGUUAUCAACAGCCUCAACAGGCUUGGAAGAAUCAUCUGGAAGUUUACUGCCAUCUGAGGAUCCCCUAUCAAGCUCUUUGAACUUUGAGGUAGAGGAUGACUUACUUAAGAUGCUGAAAUCCCUCUCCUUCUGACUUGUCCAUCGUUCCAAUUUGGAGCGCCCCUUUUUUAAAUCCUGCUGCUCAUCAUCAGAGGAAGCAUCUUCCCUGUGCCUUUUAGAAGAGUGACCAACUCCUUGCUCACGGGUGCCUUUCAAGCCCUAAAAGGGCAAAAGAAGCAAUCAUGAGAAGAGAGCCCAACUCAAUCAUCCAUUAUCAUCAACCAGGGUCAUAUACAAAAUUUCAAAAGCCAAAAAGGGAUUAUGAACAACAACUGGCAAAAUGUGCAUGGGAUUAUCCGGGAUUAGUGAAAAAGUUAUUAGCUAGUAACAUGUUGAUCUACUUGUUAUUGUUUAUCCUACUGCCCUCCUGUACUACCCUCCUACUGCUCAAACCAUAAACCUCAUUUUAAGGGGAAAUGAUACAUAUAGGCUGGCUCAAAUGCAGCUAACAUGUGUCCAUUGUUAAGAAAAAAAGUAUGUGCACUGGUCUCAGUAAAAAAAUGCGCUUCUGAUCAUGCAGAGGUUAUAGAUGUGAAGAUUUCAACAGCAGAAGCCAUCACAAAUUAGGCGAAAACUAAGUUACUAAUACAACCUUCCAAUUUUGGUUUUUGUUUUUAAUCUAUUUUUUUUACAAUGGAGAAAGGAAGAACUGAACCAUCACUCAAGCUUGAAACAUAAAAGAAAAUAGGUCCAAACAGUCUAUGCUACAGAUUGUCAGAGUUAUGCAUCAUUAAGUGUAGGAUUCCAUUGUUGUGAAAAAGAAAAAAGAAAAAACUGAGAUUUGAUUAUAUGUCAUCCAAAUCAAGCUUGCACCCUAUCUACCUUAUUUCUGAAGGAAAGAAGAGAAAUACAAUAACUAUUUGAAGAAACAAACAAACAAAUUAUGCACGAGACCUGAUGUCAAGAAUGGUACAUACCAUCUCCUUGCUACGGCCACUUUGGUCGUCUUGAUGUCUUUUGGAAGUGAUUGAAGUGCUGAUAUCAGCAAUUUCAAUUUCUUUAUUCCUUCUUGAAUUCUCUUUAUGUUUUCUAUCAUGGACCUUUUGACUAUCAACACGUUCAUUGCGAGUACUUGAUCUCUCUUUUCCAGAUCGUCUCUCAUCAAUAUUCAUUUGAUUUCCCCGUGCAUGAGCAUCCUCACGUCCCCUAUGAUGUGAACUUUCCUCCUCAACCCUAUCCCUUCUUUUGGACUGCUCACCAUGUCGCACAGUCUCUUUAUUUUGGUGCUCCUUAUCAGAGCCUUUGUUUUCAUCCUUCGCCCUAGCAUGGCCUACCCAUGCUUUGUCUUCUGAAACACGCCCACCCCUUACAGAAACUCGACCAUCAUCUCUUUCCCUCUUUGGUAGAUUUUCUUCAUGUGAUUGCUUAAGCCUAUGCCACUCCUCCCUUUCUCUUUGUCUGUCACCUCUCUCCCUCUGCAACCAGCUUUCAUCUUUGUGCCUGACAGAGUGGUGGUCAUCAGGAUUAUCCCUGACUUUCUGCUGGUCAUCUCUUUUACGCUGAUCUAAAACUUCAUCCCUUUCACGCUUUCGGCGAGUGGUAGUAUCUCUGUGGCCCUGUAGAAGUUCUUCUUUAUCUAUUUGGUCCCUCCUCAUGUAUUCCUCAUCUUUCCUUCUCUUGCCAUGGUAAUCAUCUAUAUGUUCAUACCUGCCCUUCAGACUAUCUUCUCUUUCCCUGGGUCGUGAUCCCACAUCCUUAUCAUAAAAGACCCUAUAGCUGCCAUUAUCUAACUGCUUUCUUGACUGCAUAUACUCAUCUUUGUCACUCCUCUCACUUUCACGAAUCUUACUCCUGUGCCUGGAUCCCAUUUCAUCACCACGUUCCCUCUUCCGUGGUUCUUCAGUUCUAAUCCUUCUGCUAUAAGGAUCAUCAUCCCUCCUUUGCCAUGCUCCAUCAAGAAUUUCCCUCUCUUUACGCCUAUGAAGCGCAUCAUUUUUAAAUUGUGAAUGAUGAACAGAGCUAGGAUCCCAAUCCCUAUACGGAUAAGAACCCUCCCUCCCUUUGAGUAACAUUUGAUUUCUAUCCGGUUCUGGUCUACCAUCACGGCCUUUUCUUUGGAAUCCCUGUUCCUUUUCAUCAAGGUGACUCUUGAUGCCUCCAGAGUGAGAUGAACGUCCUUGAAUUACUUCCUCCUCAACUCCAUCCCUCCACUUCUGAUAAUCCCUACUGCUUCCUGAUCUUGCUUUGCUGUUGUCACUACUUCUUGCAGCCUUGGAGUCUUCACCAUCAUCAAGUUCUUCAUCAGCAGACUGUUCAACUCGUGAAGUCAACUUUUGAUGGUUUGGAACUCCAUCAUUUACAUUCGCAGCCAUUUCCUCUUUUUCCAUUCCAGAGUUUUCAUCACCCGGUAAAGGCUCAUCUUGGUCACCGCUUCUAUGCUGAACAUUUGACUCACGGGCAGCCCCAUGUGAGACAGGAGAUGAGAUCAAAGGACUUCGUCUGCCAGCCACGCUUUCCACUGAUCCUUCCUUUUGAUUGUCAGGAAAUUUCAUGUCUCUUGUACUCCUAGGAGAUCUGUCACGUGCUCUUCUCUGUGUACCCCUAUUUUCUCCAAAACUACCACCAGUAGAACUGGGAGUCUGGUCCCCAGAACCAGCACGUUGGACUGGCCCUUCUGGACGGAAGGGCAAACUUUCAACGUCUUCUGGCACACUACCAUUGAAUGGCCUUUUCCUUCCAAGUGAAUCACUCUUUCGGUUAUUGUGCGCGUGUGGAAAACCAUUGGAGUAGGUCUUGUCAUCCUGUCGAAGGUCUCCCUCACCAAUAGCACUUCCAUCCUCUUUGGAAGGAUCAUUUUCAGUUCCGUCUGGGAUAUCAUUUCGUGCAGAGGAAUCAUCAUCUAAAGAGUCCUGCAAGACAAUCUGUUUAAGAUACAGACCACUAGUUAGCUUCUAUGACAAAACCUUAGAUACAAGCACAUAGGGACAGAAUCAACACACUAAAGAAUGAUUUGAUUAGUACUUCAAUGACAGCAUCUGAGUCACGCAUUCGCUGUGGCCGGUUUUCACAUGAGGGGAAACGUUCACCAUAACCACUUUCCACCUGUAUUGCUCUUCCAGUUGGCUGGCAUAAGAUAAAAUUACCCAAUGAGAUUUAAAACUAAGCUUUAAUGAUAUAUAUAGUUACAAAAUUAACACAUGCUGUCAAAGCAUGCAGAUAUCAAACAAUAUAUUUAUCUUGCAGACCAAUAUAUCUAUCUUGAAGAAUAUAAAACUGUAACAGGCAAGAUAUAGUUUGUAAGGAAGAAAAUUGGAAGUCUAUACAUACAAUAGGCGGACGCAUGCGAGCAGAUCCUUUUGCAAAAUCACUUUGCCCGCCCUCUGACUUUCCCAGGUUUGUAUUAGCAGUAGGAAAGUCAUGCAUACCAGUUGCUGCUGCCAAUUCUGGAGGCAGAUCUGGAUCAUAUUCCUGUGAUGUAACUUUUCUAUCAGUUCUAUCAAAAUUUGAUUGCGGUGAAAAAACAAUGCAAGAAAAGAUGAAAUGCAUAGGUUCUCACAAGAUGCAUAACCUCUCCCUUACCUGUUCUGUUCGUCCACUUUCGUAGACACGGAUUUUGCUUUGCAUGGUGGACUCCAAACGGAGCUGUUCCUGCAUAUAUUAAGUAUAGGAACAAUUAUACCCUUUGUUUAUAAGAUAGACAAAAAGAUAAUAUGGAUGGAUGUAUUGUUACCAGCUGUUUGCAAUAAUCUCUCCAGCUAUCAUCAUUUAAUCCAAAGUUGAAAUAGUCUGAAGUAUCAGCACCAGGAUAUUUCCAAGGUUUUUCCUCAAAACCGUCAAUGUCCACAUCAAAUAUGGUCCUGAAAAUCAUCAAGCAUUUUCAAUUUAACAAAAAAAUAAAGAGCAGAAGUAAUUUCCUGAUACCAAAAGAUGACAAGACACUUCCAAACAAAUAAAAGACUGCUCAUACAGUGUAAUAUAAAAUAUAUAAAUAAUGAAGAAAAUGUAUAACUUUCCAAAUAUGUAACCUAGAAAGUAGAUUUAAGCACUAGAAAACUUCAUGAUAUCUUCCAACCCAGAACAAAAGAAAUACACAACAGUAUGAAACUAUCAUGGAAGUCAGCAGAAAACAAUCCAGUUCAUCACAUAUAUGGGUAACUUAAAACUUAUCAUGAAUAUUACUUGUGAGAAGGAAGUGUGAAUUCAAGUCCACCCCCGAAACCGCGACCACCCAUAUUGUUGCCCCAGCCAGGUGUACCAAAGCCGGAGUGAAAAUUUUUCUGCAUCGGAGUACCGUUUUUUAAUCCAGUUGGUCUCCAGUCACCUCUACCUCGACCAGGUGUUGGGCCCAUGUUUACAAGUGGACGAACUUGACCUGGGACUCCAGGACCAGAAUUAGUCGGUCCAGGCAUUGGCACAGCACCUGGUCUCACAUACUGCAUAAGAUACAAAACAAACAAAUUUAGCUAGAAAAGUGUAGCAUGUUUCUAAUGUUGCAUAUUACAUCAUUUAACAUAUUUCUGAUUCAAGUAAGAAACAAUACAAUUGCUUGCUCAUGUAUGAUCAUAUCACAUAAUAUAUGACAAGUCAGACACAUAUAAAACAUUUUAAAAUGAUAUCAAACCAUCUACCCCACAACUAAAAUCAUGAAGACAUAUCAGAGCUAGAACAUAGAAGUGGCCAAAGAAAAAAAUUUGAAGUUGUAGAAUAAGUCUAGAACUUCAAGAAUCUCCCACUUGGGAAUUAGCUAUAUGAAGAGAGAGAGAGAGAGAGAGAGAGAGAGAGAAGAGCCAAGACAUAUUCAAGAAUUCAUUAGUUGGGCGCUAAUUGUUUGAAGGGGAAGGGGAGCAUCCAAGACCUAUUAGACCGACAUAGCAAACAGUUGAAUAGGUUUCCAAGAAGCAAAAACAUCAUAACAAAGAAGUUAUAGGAUUAGGUAAUCAAUAAUGGGACCUGAAGUAAAACAAUCAAAACCACUUCAGGAAGAUAGAGCACUGAAGCAAAACUGGUUUAUUCUAUUGAUAUCUUCACUGGCAGUGAAGUUCACCUAUCGAAGAUUAAAAAUUCAGAACUAACUUGCACGAUGCACUACUGUUUUCAGAGUUUCAAGUAAUAUUCUUUCUUAUUUAGACUGAAGUGUGAGUACUGGGUGACACAGUAUAUAAUGUGGAAUAGCUGCAUGGCUCUGUGAAAGGAAAAUGUUUAUGACCAAAGUGUAUAGAUUUGAAAGUCAGUAAUCUUCCUGGAAAUUCAGCCAUUAACAACUGUAAUAGAUUAGCACCGUAAUCCUCAAUUCUUCAGCUCUGUAUAGGUGCCUCAGGCCUCACUGUAGUUAAAUAUGCCACAGAAAGGCAACACUGAAGAUCCAUGGCAUACAAGCCACUUACACUGGUGAAGAAAUCUGAAGAUCAGAAGUUGCAAGGGUUGUAUAAUAUCCGGGAGUUAUCAUUGAUAAACAUUGAGCUUGUGAUUGAUCAAGAAGAGUAAAUACAAACAGCUUAAAACAAAAAAAUCAGCCAAGUAAAAUUCAAGUUGCCAAAAAAAUAGAACAUAAACCAUUAAGCAUCGAGUAAACCACUCUUUGUAUUGACUUCCAUUAAAAUUUUCAAGUAGCAUACACUCUAGUAACUAAAACAAUGCCAAACCAAUUCCAAAUUAUUAAUUUCACUAAACUAACUAACCAUGACAUUCACAUUGUACAAAAGCAUUACAAUGCAGGUAAUUUACAGUUCUAACUUUCUCAUCAAGCAAGGGGAGACGAGAUUGCCCCAUAUACAAAAAAGCUCCCUACUUUUUAAUCAAUAUAUUAACACAGCUAAACUAACCUUAAACUGGGAAUGAAAUGGAUGAUACCCAUGAUUGCUAUACCCAAUUUUCGGCGCCACCAUCGGACCUCCUCCUCCUCCUCCUCCUCCUCUCCCAGCCUCCCCCAUCUCCUUCCUCUCACCGUCCGCCGCCUGCUGCCCCUCUUCUCCCCACUCCGGCUCCUCCCCGGCAUGAUUGAGCUCACUCUCCGCCAUGAUAACCAGCCCGUCGUCAUCAUCCUCCUCGCCAUUGCCUCUCUCCAUCCCCAUUGCGUUGUUAUCAUUCAACACAAUCUGCAAGUCAUCCUCACUAUCAUCACUGUCCCAAUCAUCGCCGCCGUCCCUUCUCGAACCUUCCGGGUUGUUAUUCUCCGUAUUCCUCACCGGCGCCGCGCCGGAGAGCCCCGGAAUCACGGCGUCCAAUCCCAUGCCGGGAAUCUCAUUAGUACUCUCCUCCUCGAUAUCGAAAUUCACCUCCUUUUCGUUCAAAUCCGAAUCUUUACUCUCCAAUUUCACAUCCCUCGCCUCCAAAACCCUAGAAUCGGCGUUAGGAGCCGAAUCGGGAGCUAGGGUUUGGGAAUUGGGAUUGGAUUGAGGCGGAACCGGGGGGAGGAUCUCGUCGUCGGCGGGCUCGGUUUUGAGGUUGAGAUCGAUCGGACGGUGGAGAGGCUGCUGCGGCGGCGGUGCCGGGGCGGAGGACGAUUGGGAUGAGGACUGGAAAGAUUGGAGGACGUCGGUGUAGAGAUCUCCAAAUUCAUCGUCGUCUUCCAUCUUAAUUGAAAGAGAGGGAGAUAAAGGUGAAGUCUUUAAGGGAAAAGAGAGAGAGGAGGGUUUUGAGGUUUGAGGUCUCUCUGCAAAAGUGAAGAAGAAGAAGAGCAAUGGCGGAAGAGCCCAAUGUGUGUGUUUUGUGUUUAUAGAAGAAAGAAGAAAGAUGAAAGAAGAGAACUUUGAAACGUUGCGUUUUAUGUGCUCAUUUUUUUUUAUAGAAAAUUUCCGAAUUUGUUUUGGGCGACGAGAAAAUCUACGGUACACGGCGUGUAUCUUCACAUACAUACAUGGAUGGUGGAGAUUAGAGGAAAUAAUAUAGAAAUAUUAUGGUCAAACAUAUAAAUUGUUAUAAACGGUUAAUAUUGCGUCGUGUAAAAACACGUUAUACAUACACGAAUUUUCAAUUUGUUUUAGACAAGUACGACUAGUUAAAGUGAAUUUGAAUUUUGUAAUAUUAACAUUAUUUAGGUAUUUUAUUUGUUUUGCGUAGGGAUUUUGUUUCCCUUUCUGUUGUGUGUUAGGGUAUGGAAGUGGGAGAUGUGGCAAUGUUGCCAAUGAAGGACUUGUUAAAAUAGGUAGUAGCUAUGGUGUGGCAAUUUUGGGUUGGGUUGCAUUUGAUUUGGUGAUGUAAUGAGAAUCCUUGGUUACUUACAAUGAUUUUUGGCUAUGUGUCUAACUUAUAUGUUUCAUCUAAUACAAUUUGUGAUGUUGACAUAGAAUUCUAGUGUAUGCUAACUUAACGAUAAAUGAGGGCAAACAAAUCUUUUACGGUUUUAGAUUAUCUUGAGAAAAGACUAAAUCAGUAUAAAUCAAAAUAGUUUACUUGAUGUCACGUUACAAUAUAUUAAUAAGCUAUACACGAAAUUUGUUAUCCAUUAGGCAGGAGCACAACUCUUGAUGACAUGACUUUAUUACAAGCAUGUGCAUAACAUUCUUCAUUUAAACUCUUUGUCCCCCAUAUAGUACAUGUCCUUUAGGUCGUAUUGGUGUGCAUAACCUCUCGACCAUCAUAAUUUUGUUCUCUCAAAUAAAGGUGGUUGUUUUCGAGCCUUAAUUAAUAGUGUUACACGGACACAAACACAGACACUGACACGGCGUGACACGCCAACACAGCAAAUCCAAAAAAAUUAAGAUCCGACACGGCUUAGAUAUGGCAAAUAAUUAAUAUAUUUAUGUAUUUUAAUACAUAAAAUGCAUAAUAAAAACAUGAGAUCGAGACUAUAUGCGGUUAUCAACAAAGAGAUACUACAAUGGAAUGAAGAUUAGGAAACCGAUGAUUAAUUUGAAGUGGAAAAGGGAGAUGAAGGAAGAUGGGAAGAGUGGAAAAUGGAGAUUAAGUUGUAGUUUACAAAUUAGAUCAUACUAUUAGAAUUUAAACAUCGACUAGGAGGGAUAUAUNNNNNNNNNNNNNNNNNNNNNNNNNNNNNNNNNNNNNNNNNNNNNNNNNNACAAAUCGAAUUAUUCAAAUAUUCAUAUUACCCAUGAAUUAAAUUUCACAAUACAACAUCAAAUUUGAGAGAAAAAUUCAUUGCGUAGGACUGAAGUUGAAUCUCAUAUAGCUACAAAUCAAAAACCACAAACAUGAGUUAGCUCUGAAGAAAGCUUACCCGAAAAACAAUUCCACGAGAUCAGCGACGGUGGAAGACAGUCGGAGGCCGUCGAAAACGAUCACUGGAAAUUUAAUGGAGCAGGUACGAUGAUGAGAUGGUCGUAGAUUCGCAGAGGAAGAGAAGCUAUGGUAGUUUCGGCUUUUGUCGAACGAAGCUGGAUAAAUUUUAUAACAACUUCUUAACUGGAUUUGUAAUCCAUGUUGUACAUGAAUUAAAUUUUCCGGCCCAAGCAUGUCUGGGCCUCCAAACAUGUCAUGUAGCCAGAUUGGAAUAUUUUAAUAAAGUCCGUGUCUUAUAUCCGGUGUAACAAACACCUCCAUAGUUUCUAGACUAAUCCCGUAUCGGAACAUUUGGGCAUUCGACGAUUAGUCAUAAAACCCGGGUCACCACCGGUUCGGUCCAAGUCCGGUUCAGGUUCACACAGUUCCUGCCACCUGUUGCAAAAUACUUGAUUAUCCACUAGGACCCACAGAUGAAUCGGACGGCUACAACGCCACGUUGAUCUUACAACAAUUUGGUUGACCUCUACACACACCUCUUAAUCUUGACCAGAGAGGUGAUGCUGAGCUCAUUACUACACGCGCCACCACUCUCCGCCUCUCUUCCCCGCCUCUUCUCCACGCGCGCUGCCAUGGCCGCCACCUCAGCUCGAAUCGCAGUUGUCGGCGACGUCGUAAGCAUCUCUCUCUCACUCUGUUCUUCUCGGACUUUCAAAACCGUAGCAAAUUUAGCAGAUUUCUUACUCAAACUCAUUUUCAAUUCGUGUUCUGGUUUAUGAAGCAUGAUCAGUGGAAUCUAGAAGAGGACACAAAAGCGCUUCGAUUUCUGCAGGUAUACAUUUCGCUCUUUCUUCUUUGUAUUUUUAUUUUUUUUUCNNNNNNNNNNNNNNNNNNNNNNNNNNNNNNNNNNNNNNNNNNNNNNNNNNUCUCUCUCUCUCUCUCUCUCUCUCUCUCUCUCUCUCUCUCUCCCUAUCACACACACUUUUGUUUCGUUAUGCAUCAAAUUACUUGAUCUGAACUAAAUGGGUUUGAAAUUAAUGGAUCUCUGUUUGUUGGGUACUCAAAUUUAGGGUAAAGAUCGAAACUUUGUACUGAAUUGACCUGAAUUGGAGUGAAGGGGACCUGGGUUUUUAUCAGUUUGAUUGAAUGUUAGCGUGAUUGUGAUUUGGAUUGUGUAUUGAUUUUGGAGUUUUGAUGCUUGUUUCAGGUCAGUUUGAGUGCAUUUGCGUUCUUGUUUUCUGAGCUUGUGCAGUACAAUCAGACCCAAGUUGACAACAUUGCUGAGCUAGAAAGAAGGUGAUUCACAUUCUUGGUAUUUCGGUUUCGUCUGUCAUGUGCUCAUUUAGGUUCAACUAUGGUUAGUUUAGGGUUUCAUUGGAUUUCUUAGACAAAUGUGAAUGAAUGGAAGUUCAGUUUAUGCAGUAUUCUCUAAGCUCUAGCUUACUCUUUCACCUGAAAAUGAGUUUUGGAUGUUAUUUUAGAUUGCUGUGCUACUAUAGUUUGGUAAUUGAGUGCCAAAUAAUUCAAUGAAAAUCUUUAAGUGAAGAAAUUAAGGAUAUUGGGACUUGUUGUGACAGAAAGCAAAGACUUUCCUGUUUGCUCUGCAUCAUCUUAUUUUACAGUUCUAGUUUAGUAAUUCUGUGCUUCAAAUUUCAACAUGAUUUAUGCACGAUGGAUCAGGCUGGAAGAUGCAGGCUAUGCUGUUGGAGCUCGAGUUCUGGAGCUUCUUUGCCAUAGGGAUAAGGUAUGACUUCUAGUUCUUGAACUGAAAUAUGUUUGAAUAACGGACUGUUUACUUCAUUUUGGCAGUACCUAAGAAAUAAAAGGCAGAUGUCCAUUUUUUGGGUUUAUAAGAUGUCAUCUAUCCAUAGGUUGCUCCAGUCUGAAUGAAACAUUGGCUGUUUUGUGAACAAAAUUCUAGGUUAAAGGAGAUUGCACAAAAUCGUUAAUGCACUUCUGCAUCUUCUUGAACUACCACCUUGCAAUGUCACCAUCUUGUUUUGGAAUCUAGAAUCCUAAUCAUCUGUAAUAAACUAAAUAUUGAUUUAGUGUGAUUUGUGGGUGUAGUCUGGGGGACUGCAUGGGUGCUUAAUUUGACACAAAUGAUGCUGAUGAUUCUGUCUUGCUAUAGGGAAACAGAAGGGAGACACGAUUAUUGGGUAUCCUAUCUUUUGUGCAUAGCACAGUAUGGAAGGUGUUAUUUGGAAAGGUGAAUGUUUUUCGAUUUCUUUAAACUCUAUUUUCCAUAUUUGGGGCAAGUUUUAUGGCUGAAUUCCAAACACACAGACUUAUUGUUGAUUCACGUAUGCAUAUACGGGUGCAUGUCUGUUCGACCUAUGCACAUGAAAUUCUCUGAUGUACUUAAACAGUUAAACCUAGCGUUAACUGGUUUUUGGUGCAUGACAAUUAGGUAGCUGACUCACUUGAGAAAGGCACUGAACAUGAAGACGAAUACAUGAUUAGUGAGAAGGAACUCCUUGUGAACAGGUAACAGUUUAUGCAGUAAAAUGAAGUCUUUGAAAUUAUACCAUGUGUCGUAAAAUUUGUUUUUUCGGUUUUCAUUAACGUCUUACCAUCUUUUGAUUGUAGAUUUAUUUCAAUUCCAAAAGACAUGGGAACCUUUAAUUGUGGAGCCUUUGUUGCUGGAAUUGUAAGGGUAAGUGCUACUCUUUCUUCAUUAUCAAUUAAUUCGUCCAGUUCUUAUAAGGUGUCAUGGUAAUUGUCUUUUACUAUGAAGGGUGUUUUGGAAGGUGCUGGUUUUCCAGCUGUGGUAACAGCUCAUUUCGUACCAGUGGAAGGUCAGCAGCGACCUCGGACAACCAUUUUGAUAAAAUUUGCUGAAGAGGUGACUGUUAACUUUUUCUGAAUUAGCAUUCCAUACACAAACAUUGGAGUUUCAAAUGCAUAGGCAGUUGGAUGCAUUUCAGCUAGAUUUGAUGGGAGUGGACGUUUGAAUUGUACGUCCAUAGUCCAUUGGCCCUGUACAUGUGCAGGUCCAUCAAUUUUGAUCUCGUUUGAUGUUCCAACUGUGCAAUUUCUUUAUAUUUUUUACUCUAUUUGGCCAUAUAGUAGCUUUGGUUUUGAGGUUCCACUUCUGUCUUGCUUUUGUAUUCUCAUGAAUCUUUUUCUAUUGCAAGGUACUACGAAGGGAAGCAAGGUUGGGUUGAUGCUGAGUCCACAAUCAUCAUAUCUUACAUCUCGCUUAAGAUUCCCCUUAUUAUGAUUGAAAGUAGUGAUCUCACAUCUGGGUUGUCAAACAAGUGACUUUUCACCUCGAAUCAUACUUGUGUUAGCUAUUUCGCGAUGCUGAUUUGAAAGUAGCAACGAUUGUAAUUUGUAAGCAUAGCUGUGAUCCAAUGAGGAGAGAAGUAGAAAAAGAACAAGGAAAGAUACAGUUACAGAUGCGUAUAAUUUUGUUAUUGGUAGGAACUUUGAUUUAUGGCCUUGUGGUUAAGCUGCAGAAUGUGGAUUAGUACUUCAAUCAACCACAAUAUCUUCUUAUGUAUUUAAUCUGUGUUGGUGCGGAAGAUUAGAGUUGGCUUGUUACUGAUAUUUUUUAUUUGCAUCUGCUCAGCGACUGUUUUUAGAGCAAACAAUAGUUGGUUACUUGGUUUAACCAGCAGCUCAAACUGACAUCAAGUAGCAUGCUGCUUUCUUAACUUAUAGCUGUGAUCAGCAAGGAUUUUCACUCCCCAAAUAUAUGUAACCUUGUCAAACACUAAAUUGGAUGUAAUUCCUUCUCAAAUCUCAGAGGUAAAAAGGGUCUUCCCUCCCCAAAUAUGUUAAAGACCUGCACCGGGCCUCAAAGAAAUACAAAAAGGCUGACAACAAUGGUGCCUAAUCAGUGUACACUAGACGGAAAAAGAUGCUUGGCUUCUAUCCCUAUAUCCACCUCUCUAAAAUGUAUCAUAAGCAUCAAUGAACUGAGCUUCAGGGAUACAAUAAGUUGUUCAGGACUCAGCUUUGUUGAGGCCUUGCAACCUUAUGUUCCCAGAGCAAGUAGUUGCAAAAAGCACAUAAAAGAGGAGCAAUGUUUAACACCUAACAGUAAAUUUAUACUACCAGUAAAACCAUGGCAACAUCUCGCAAAUCCUAGUCACAUUGUCAACAGUAUUCUCUGAUAAUGAUAUCCUAUCCCAGAGAAAAUAGUGCACCAAACAUAGAUAGAGAAUGAAGUAUGAAACUACAGAGUAUGUUAGAUUCAUCAGCCAUUUAGCAAUAACAGUACCAACACUCUGAAUUGGUGCACAAAACCGAUUAAAUUUCCAAAACAUUGUGGAACUUAUAAACUUGGUGGACAUACAACACUAAAGGCCUGAUACAGUAAACUUAGAUAACCUGAAACAAGCACCAGACAGUUGAAACAGUUCCAAAGCAAAGACUAUAAAAACAAAAAGCAUUGUGAGGAAAAUAGUGGCAGUUCCAAUUAGCACCUGCUGCUGGGAAUGAGCAAACCCCUAAGAAAGACAAUGGAAAUUGAAUCAUAGUAAACCUCUAAUAGCUGCAAGCAGUUCAAUAUCCAGAAGAACAAAACAUAACAACAGAAAAUAUAACAUAAGAGAAUAGGGAAAACUUGCAACAGGCACACACUUGUACUCUAACAAAACUCAAUAAUUUUUAUUAAUAAUAUGUUCUAUUUUGAUUUUCAAUGAGAUCCAUGUCCAUACUCAAUACCAAGACCAUAUAAGACACCAGCAUAUUUCUUAGGAGACCCACUAAAGAAAUUGUUUUUCAGUUUCAUGAAGGUAAAACUGGUGAGUAAACUAUCAGAACCAGCUUGGUGAGAAAUGCCAACUCUCUCCACAUCCAACAGCUCCGCCAGCUUGUUCAACCCACCAUGGAGGCUGUUGCAGAACCUCAUCAGAUGCUUGACAUCAUAAAUUUUCGGGAAGUACAAAUUGAUCAAUUCAAAGAACUUUGUCUGCGAGUCUGGAAGGUCUUUGCAGGUAAGCAGCUUGAGCAAGUAACCGAAAUCAUAUCCACUAUGGAAGGUCACCCAAACCACAUUUUCAUUCAGCACAAUACCAGAGGUCAUCAACAGCUCACUGAACCUACGAGCAUCGAUACCCUUCUCAUUGUUCUUCUUGAAAUCCAUUCCACUGUGGGUCAAUAACUCAAUCGAUUCCGGAGCAUACAUAUCCUCAUUGAGAUUAAAGUUACAGAAAUUGAACUGCCACACACAGUACUUGUCAGUUCCACAGGUGGGCAGGUUCCCAUUCUCGUCUGAAAACGUGAGACCCAGCUGAAUCAACUUCAACAGGUCCACAUUGAGCUUCAGGGUCUGAUAGUUAUAAUCAAAGCUGUUCUUGAAAGUGCCCAGAGCGCGCGAAACGAUACCUGGAAACUCUGUAUCCAUAGCUAUAUAAGGGUAUUCAUCCACGAUAUUCCGAAUCAACUCAAAUUCCGCAUCAACAUUAUCAUUCCAAACUUCCCUAAUAAGAACAUCAUCACUCUUCAUCACAAAAGACAUUUUCUUUGAUACAAAUUGAAGCAGAUAACAAAACCCAGAAUGCCAAAAACCAUAAAUCUGCACAGGAAUCCAAUAAAACCCAAAAUCAAAACACACCCAUAUCUGAAAACCCUAGAAAAUCAAUACCGCAAAAUCAAGAACUCCGAGAACUCACCUCGACAAUUGACGACCUGGGCGUCUGAGAAAUGCAACGAUUGAAGCGAAACGAGGGUUUCCCCUUGUGAUUAUGUUGAAUGAGAUUUGAGGGUUUUAAAUUGAAAAGGGUUUUAAAUUGAAAAGGGUUUUACGUCGUUUUGGGAAAGAACGGUGUAAAAAAAGAGAGAAGCCUUUCCUUGCUUACAUUGGAACAGCAAGGAAUAGCUACUAGUGAGGUGAAUGGGAGAGAACCAAAGGAGGAGCUUGGGGUUUAUAUAUGCCCUAACUAUGACAUUUCUUGCCCAUUUUGCCCUUCAUUUUUUUCGUAUAAACUUCGUAUUUUCGUUUUCUCUAAGUUAAAGAGUCUCGAAUACCAAACUCGAAAUCCCUUCCCACAUUGGAGAACGCUCUCCCGGAGAAGGGUGUAUUUAGUUUCCUUCUUGAGAGAGGAAUCAUUUUGGUUUGUGUGUUAGAACUUGGAACCAUUCAUUGCAAUUCUGGAGUCAUAUUUUUGGAUUUGGUUUCAUUUGAGAAAAUGGAGCGUCACCUUUAUACAUUCAGAAAUGCAGCAAAUGCCUCCUAUUUGUGAAUAUUUACAAGUGAAAGAUCCAGAUAACUGAAGGAGAUAACAAUGGUCCAGUUCUUUCAACUCCCAAUAGAUUAGCUGACUGAGGUCAUGACAGUUUAACUGUCCUCGCAAACAACUCAGACUUCAUUGCAUACGCUGCAGAUAUCCUUUGCACACCACUGUUCUUAGGUUCAAAAUUGUCAUCAUCAGGAGCAUUAAUUUCAUCUACAUGAUAGCAGUCAUAAUAUCAGGAUUCAUCAUUAGCACUAAAACUAGGUGCUGUUGUUGUUUUUGUUGUUCAUAAAUUAUGGACCCUGCCAAUGCUGCACAACAUGCUACAUUCAUCAUUUGUAGCAAAUCCAAAAUCAGUACUACAUGUAUCCAGCCAAAUUGGACAAGAAUUCUCACAACCCUGCACCUAGGACAGAAACCUAACUGAACUAUGACUAGCUAACAUAACCCAUAUAGGAACCGUAAUCAAGUUGACCCAUCUACACUGAAAGUAUGCCACACUGCCACAGGUCUCCUGUUGCCACUAUGAACAGCUACAUAGAAACAAUCAAAAGAACAGGAUAAUGGUGCUCAACACCCCUACAGUAUAAAGCCUUUAGUCCUUUACAGAUCGACAGCUUUUGCUACUUAGUUAGGUUGUUAGAGUUUAAGUAGAGGGAAAAAAAAGGUUUGAAAAUGUAACUAUACGAAGUAUGAAUCAUCUGCUAUUUAUUAUUUUGUUCCAGGCUAGAAGCAUCAUCAAUACAAUUCAAACAAAUAUUGUACAUCAAAUGAUUAUGUUUCUAACAAACAACAGCUACCAAAUUGAGAGCAUGUAAGAUACCAAACUUUGCAAAUUUCCAUCAAAGAUGAACUUCAAGUUACAACAAAUUCAGGAAGAAAGACCAUAAAUCACAUUACAUACCAUCAAUCAAUUUCGACCAAGUGGGAGAGAUCGACAAGAAUACGUCUCCUUAAACUUCUUUGUGCUCGAAGAAGUAAAAAUCGAAGCAUAAACUUCCUUAGUAGCAUUAGCCGGGGCUACAUCCACCGCCUUAAACUUCUUCACCGCAGGACCAUUACUCCCACCCUUCACAUUCUCCCCACCAUUUCCAACCUUCCCAUUCCCCUCCACCUUCGCCAAAGCCUUCUCUCCACCCUUCACAUCAAUCCCAUGCUUCGUACCACUCAACCUCGCAGCCUCCACACCCUCCUCCUCCCCAUUUUUCAGCUUCUUCACCUUCUUCACCUUCUUCACCCUCGUUUUCGCCUUCUCAGCCUCCAUCCUCUCCCUCAGCGCCGCGACCUCCUCCUCAUUCCCAUUGAUCACAAUCUUAUCCUCCUCCGAAAACCCCACAUGACACACUAAACACGCCGAGGACUUCACCUCCUUCAACGCCUUCACACUCAACACAUGCCCGCAGCUCCUCAGCGCCAGAAAGUUACUCUUUCCAUUAAACUCCAGCCCCGUAAUCGGGCACUGAAACCUCGGCCCACUAACCGUCGCCUGAGACUCCAUUUCCUUCCCGGAAAUCGAAGCGAAAUGCACAGGGAUCAUGUCCUUCAGCCCCUUAAUGUGUCCGAAAGCCUUCGGCACCUUCUUCCCCAACAAUGCCUCAACCAGAGCCUCCUUGUUAAACACAUUCCCGAUCAAAUCCACGACGCAAGGAUCCUUCAGCGGCUCAUUCGAAAGCGCGCAGUUCAGAAACUUCGAGAGCCUCUGCUCGUAGGGGUCGACCUUGUCGGGCUUCUUCUCCGCGUACAUGUUGAGGUAGCAGUCGCGAGACUCGGCACCGGUGGCGCCGCCAUCGCCGCCGCCGCCGGGGGUUCUGAUUCGGAGAAUUAGGGUUGAAAGAGGGGGGAAUUGGAGAGGGGUGGAGUCGAGUAAGGGUUUGCCGUUGAGGGUGAAGAAGAGGGAGGGGAGGGUUUGGGGGAAAAGAGAGAGCUUGAGGUGGUGGAGAGUUGGGGUUUGGAUUGGGGAUAGGGUUAGGGUUUGGGUUGGGAUUUGGAGGUCUGGCGAUUGGAGAAAGAUUUGGAAGGAUUGGGGAUUGGGAUUCAUCGUGAUGGGUUUGAAUUGGUGGAGGGUUUGUGAGAUUGGGAAUUAGGGUUUUGAAAAGGUUGGGAUUGCUGGGAAUUUGGGGAUUUUAUAUGUUGUGAUUGUCAGAUACAAGGCGAGGUCGGUGGCGCUGCUCGCGCUAUUUUUCUUUUUAUUUAAAGAAGAUAUACGGUAUAGUGGUAUACCAAUGACUAGAAGGACAAAGAUUAGUACUCGUAUCAUCACAAAAUCAGUUUCGCAAAAGACAUGUUUGAAGUUAAAAAAGAUAAAACUAGUCGUAAUCUAGAUUAUGCUCAACAUCACUAGCAAUCUAGCAUCUUAAUAUGUUCGACAUGGUUAAAUAUCAUCACGAACCACGUGAAUCGAUUAGUAAUGAUAUUACAAGAGGUUGUUGUUAAUCGGUUAAUGUUAAACUGCCACAAUUACCUAAAUACAUGACUCAAAUGCUACAAAUGUACAAAGUCGAAUGAAAACACAAAUUCUUUUACCAAAAACUUAAGGGUUGAGGUACGUACAAUUUACUUUUAUGGUCAUAACUAUUUGUUUUAAGGAAAGAGUAAACAACUCAAUCACAAGCUUGAACAUGAAAACAUAACUUGAAAGAAGUAAUGGGGCUUAUGAAAUUCAAAUAUUGUGAACAAAAGCUAGUAUAAAGUCACAUGAUGUGGUAAAGUUGGUCGAGCUAUCAUGUUAAGAGUUAAAAUCCCAACUCUCACCAAAUUUGUGGCCAACAGUUUUGAGGAGACCUCCAGAUUUGUGCGUUUGCGACGAAAAAUUAGUAUGGUUGUAUGACUUUAUUUGGGUACUCUCAUGGACGUCGGUCGGAAUAAUGACAGAGUGGUUGUAUUAUUAAUUUGUUAAUAUAACGCAAAUGAGUAGCUGCUCAUUCUCAAUAAAUAAAUAAAAACAAAAAACAAAAAGCUAAUAUAAAAAAAUAUUUUAAAAAAAAAAAACAGAAUGAAGUGAAGGGUAUGAUAGUAAAUUGACAGUAGGGUUUUAGGGUUCUUCUCGUGAAGUUAUAAGAAGGCGCCCGUCCUACUUCUCCUACACAAAGCCUCACAUUUGUGCCUCCGCCGAACUCCGUCAAGGUCCGCCGUUUUCUAUCUGUCUUCAUCCCGCUAUAGUCUUCCUUUUACUUAACGUUCAUUACUGUAUUUGCUUACAUCUCUGUUUCUGUGAACACUGAAAAAUAUGUAUGAAACUGAGAAACAUGUUUAGGAAUAUUUCAAAGUCUAAACUGUUAAAUCUCAUUGUGAAUAAGGUUUUUGAGCACUAAAGUUAACACGUUCUGGGUUGCUUGUGCUGUCUUCGAACUGGGUGAUGAGUUGGUUGGGAACUAGUAACAAUUUGGAUUAGUAACAUAGAAACUGAGUCAGAAGUCAUUAUUGUUUGUAUUGUUAGAUUGUUGUUGUUAUUAGUAUUAUUGGGUUUCGAUUGUUAAGUUGUUAUGAGGACUUUACCUCGUAAUGGUUUCAGAGGUGUUUGACAUUGUUUUUUUUGCUGUCAUUCCACUGUGAACAGGUCAUCUGAGAUCAACAAACCGCAAGAUGUCAGGGUACGUGGACAAUUCUUUGUGCUAUUGUUUUCUCAUUAAAUGUAGUUAGGGAAUACAUAAAAUUAUACUUAGUCUUCUUUAUAACAUCGAUUUUAAAAUUGGCAUUGUUAUGUGAGACAUGUGAUGGUUCAGAGUCCUGGUUUGGGAACGACAGAGAAUUAUGAACACUACUUUUAUUUUUUGUGAGAAAAUAAUCAGUUGUGUUAUUAUACCUGCAUCUAGUUUCGGCCUGUCAUUAAAACUAGCGCAUGCUAAGUCUAAAGGGCUAGUUUUGCUCCGACUAUGGUUCUGACAUAGGCCAGUUGUGUUCGUUCUGUAUCUAUGUUUUGGGAUUGCACACAGAAUGGCUUAAUGUUAGUAUUGUCAAUGUAGUUACCUUUCUAAUAUAGGCCUGUUGCUUUUGUUCUUGCUUGGGUCAGUUCAUCAGUUCAGCAGACGGGAUGUUUAAAUGUAGUUUGCUGACUUAUUGUAUUGGUCUGAUAUACGAUAGUUGCUUUUGUUCUGCAUCUAGCAUUCCAUGUUGUCUUAAAGAAGAAAGGAAAACUGGAAUUUUUUGCAAGUUGUGCAAAGUUAUUACAUUCCCUGUCAGUCCUUAAGAUCUGAACUUGCACUUUAGAGCUAUGAUUUCUUUCUUGGUUUCUCAAGUUUGGAUUUCACUGAGUGCUGUUAUAGUUUUUGAUUGAUAUAUGGCAUGCAUUUCUAUGUUUAAUCUAACUCUCUUUCUUUUCAUUGCUUAUACAGAGAUGAAGCUGAGGUUCCUGUUACUGUUGAGCCUGUGGCUGUGGCUGCUGCUCCAGCUCUAGGUGAGCCCAUGGACCUCAUGACAGCAUUGCAACUUGUGCUUAGGAAGUCAUUGGCUCAUGGUGGGCUUACACGGGGUCUACAUGAAGCUGCCAAGGUCAUUGAGAAGCAUGCUGCACAGCUGUGCGUUUUGGCUGAGGACUGCGACCAGGCUGAUUAUGUGAAGCUUGUCAAGUCCCUGUGCGCAGAGCAUAAUGUUAACCUAAUGACAAUUCCUAGCGCCAAAACUCUUGGAGAAUGGUCUGGGGUAAGUGGAAAUAUUCAGUUAAUGCUUUAAAGUACUUGUUUCAUGCAUCCUUAUUUUGCCAUUUUAUGUUCCAGAUUAGUUAUAAUCAAAUGCAUUUAUUUUUCACCUGAUUUUCAUUGCCAAUAGAUCUAUGUGCCAACUUUUAAUUAUUACUUUCCUAGCUUAUGUUGAUUUGGAUUCUCUCUUAUCACAGCUUUGCAAGAUUGAUUCUGAAGGAAAAGCAAGAAAGGUUGUUGGUUGCUCUUGCGUUGUUGUCAAGGUAAUACUACAUUCAUUUGAGUGUGUUAAUUCGGUAUAUAUCCAGUUGUUAUCUCUCCAAGCUAUUUCUCUUUUUGUGGUUUUGUUUACUUACCUUGGGGUCUAUUGUUUUACAGGAUUUUGGUGAAGAUACAGAAGGCCUUCAUGUUGUUCAGGAGUAUGUGAAGUCCCAUUAAACCUGGAAGAGGUUGGAGGUUGGACAUUGAGGCCCUUUUUACUAGGGGUGGUGUUUAUUAGAUAGUCAUGGACCUUCCUUAGUAUUGCAUCUGUCCCAACUUAUAACAUGUUUUUCUGAUUCUCAAACCAUCAUAUUUUGGAGUGAUAAUUUUGUUAUGGAUUCAUUAGUAUUACCAAUCUUUGUUUCCCUUGGUAUCUUGCUCAUCUUUCAUUUCCAAGCAGAUGAUUUGAGUUGGAUAACUGUUCCUAUCCCCUGACUUUAGCACAUCAAUUGUGGUCCAUGGAUUCAUUGCAAUUUGAUUGAUUAGGCAACAUCCUGGAUGGAAUUGUGGCCCUUUGAGUCUGGCUGAAUCUACACCAGGAAUACUUGUGUAGCACAUUAGCUUUCAACUACCCUUCUUGUAGAUAUCAGUAUGGUUCUGUGUUAUCAUGCUUUGGUAUCUGUGAAAUUCAGAACUACAUUUGUAGUAUACCUACUACCCUCCCAAUAAUUUGGGGAAAGGUACCCCAUUUGCAACAUGUUGUAGAAGCUUUCGUUUCAUCCACUGGUCCUAAAGAACACGCUCUUUUGCUGGAUACCACAUCUCAUCCAGUUGGUUGAGCGUUUCAAAAGUGUCACUUGGGUCUAACUUGAAUAUGGUUUGGGCUGUUUAUGACUUAUCAUUUCUUUAUGGGCAUAUUGUCCGUGACAAGAGCUUCUUGUCCUUGUUCGUUUUAACCAACAUAGAACUAUGUGCCUCAAAUCCCCCUUCCAUGGCUCUCGUCUGAACUAUGUGAUGUAAAUUGGGACUGAUGAACCCAGAAACAAUUCUGUUUGUAGGCUUAAAACUCGCUUCGAUUUCGUGACUCUUUCACCGGGCAGUAGAGUCCUGUCAUUGGACCCUUUUAGGAAGUUUAACUGCACUAUGUAUAGGGAGGGUUUAGCAAACCGGUUGGUGCAGCAUUCUUUGAAUGGAAAUGAGCUACUGCUAUUUGCAUAGCUGGUAUUUCACGACCGAAGCAGCGAACUUUGAAACCUACCUAGCCUAAAUUUCAUUUGAAACCUUCAUCCAUGGGAAAUGUUACUGCCUGUAAAAAGGAUCAACGAUUUCAAAACCAUUACCUUAUUCACGAAAUCUAUCUUUCUUGCUCAUGUGAAAUUAACCUUUCUUGCUCAUGAACAUAAUACAUAUUGCUCUCACCUUUACUGCAUUUUUUAUUGUAUCUUAUUGUUCCUUGAUAUGACUUUUACUUUUAUAUAGUCACUAGGUAAAUUAAAAUGAAUUGUGUAAAGUUAAUUGUACGUAAAGGAGAUAUUGGAGGCAAUUAAAAGUCUAUCACCUAAAUUCGAGAGUCAAAGUCAACUCAUCCAUUGUUUUUCAGAUAUUAUUUAACACGUUAUAUCUCAUAUUUUNNNNNNNNNNNNNNNNNNNNUUAAAUUCCGCCUAAAGCUCUCCACAAAGCACGCUCGAUCGAGACCAGUUCACCAAGUUAAGUUACAAAACCAAUUACAAUAAUCUAGGUAAGUUGCAAAACUAUUUACGAUGAUCUAGGUAAAAAGCUAAUCACACCUAAGCCAAAUUUUUUCUUCAGGGCUUAGAAAAGAGAUAGAACAUCUCAUGGCCCUGCUCAGCUUUAGUAAUAGUACUUUUCUCCUUUUCGGCAUAAAAUCUCACCAGGUUUUCAUAUUCACUCUCUCCCUACUUGUAGUUUAUAUGCUUGUUGCUCCUGUAUAGCUUCAAUAAUUAUUCAUGAAUUUCUUGAUGUCAAUAUGAUUAUUACUUUCUUCAUAGUUUUUGAAGUAAUGGGACUCAAUAUUAGGUAGUCGGCAAGCGUGGUUCGUCUACUUCAUAUUUUCCCAGGUGCAGUACAACGACGACUACUGCUACUACCACUGUUCUUCUUAGUCGCUCACGCAAAACAAAUUCGGGUAAGGUCAAAAGUCCUAAUCAUCUGAUAUAACUUUUUCUUACCCUUCUUCAUAAUCAAAAUGGAAAUGAAAACGUUUGCUACUUUGCUAUCAAUUUCUACAGAAAUUCUCUGUAUAUUAUAUGUCUAUUCAAUACUGAUAAAGAUCCUAAGUUAGUCAGAGUUCAACAGCUUACUUCCAUCACUUGGAUUAAUUAAUCAAUGGAGUCGAAUUCUUGUGUUAGUUGCAAUUGGAGGAUGAAAUAUACUGUUGGCUAGUCGCCGAAUAUAAAUACAAAGGAUGGCUCAUAGUUUCUAAGUAUAAUAACCAUGAAGCAGCCCAUCCUUCAACCCCUAAUCUAUGUAUCACAAUCUCUCCAAAAAAAAUCUAUGUAUCACAAAGUGUACCAAAACAACAGUAUUCAUUUAUAUAUAGAGGUUACAGAGUACUAUUACAUGUAACAUAUGAAUAUUGCAAACAAUGGAUACCUAGAAUCCUAAGGCGAGAGACAAAGAUUAAGCUUUACUUCGGAGAGAACAAUGGCAAUGGAUGCAUCAGUGCCACAAAGUUAUCAAAGGCGCAUGCAGUAAUAGCCUACUUGUCAAACUUGGAACCACCUAACCACCUCCCUCCCUUGUCCCAUUUCACUGGGAUCAAGUGUGGCUCACUUUCCAAAAAAAGUGUGGCUCACUUUCCCCUUAUAUAAACAACACCACAGAUACAUAACCUCACAAACCAAAACCCAAACUACACCAAAAAUAAAUACCACCACACACUCAGUCCUCACUCCUCACCUUCACUAUCUCUCUAUAAUUUGACUUGUAAAGCUCAAUUCUUAUAGUUCUGAUCAAGCCUCAAGCAUUUCAAGAGUUCAGUUUUCCUUUGGUUUCUUAAAUCUUUGACAAAGAAAUAUGGCUGGAACUGGUUUGUUUACAGAGAUACUGGAUGGAGAAGCUUACAAGUACUACUCUGAUGGAGAAUGGAAGAAAUCAUCUUCUGGUAAACUUGUUCCCAUCAUCAACCCAACUACAAGAAAGGUUCACUACAAGGUUCAAGGUGAUUACUUCUUUUCCUUUUUGUUUAACCAUGUUUAUGAUUUUUCAUGUUUUGGUUCAUUUUGCAAAGUGAAUUACAAGUACCCUUUAUCUGGUUAAUUGGUUCAGCUUGUACACAAGAAGAGGUUAACAAGGUUAUGGAAUCAUCAAAAACUGCACAGAAAUUAUGGGCCAAGACUCCACUUUGGAAAAGAGCAGAGCUACUUCACAAGGCUGCUUCUAUCCUCAAAGAGCACAAAGCUCCAAUUGCAGAGUGCUUGGUUAAAGAAAUUGCUAAGCCUGCUAAAGAUGCUGUUACAGAGGUGUCCAUAAGCAUAACCUUUAUCUUUUGAUUUUUCAGUGCUUUUUUAUUUUCCUGUGAAAAGUUUGGAUUAAAGUUCGGGUUUUGUGAAGGUUGUGAGGUCUGGAGAUUUGAUCUCUUACACUGCUGAAGAAGGGGUCAGGAUUCUUGGUGAAGGGAAGUUCUUGAUGUCUGAUAGUUUUCCUGGAAAUGAAAGAACCAAGUACUGCCUGACUUCCAAGGUAUAUUAAUUUGUACUUUUUACUAAUUUGGUUUGUGCAGUUUCUCUUUUACUGUUGAGUUAAUGGAAUUUUUCUAGGUAGGUUGUUUGAUGAUGUAAGCCUUUGAAGAAACAAAUGAUGAUAGCCUCAGAAACCAUUUUGUAACAAAAGAUGAUGAUAACGUUUGCCUCUCUCAUCUUUCUUCAAUUUCCCUUCUUGGAAAGAGGGACCCUUCAAAUUCUAGAAUUAAAAUCAUGUUCAAUGUGCGUUAUUUUCUGAAGUUAGAUUAUAACACAGAGUGAUUCUCAUAGCAGUAUAUGAUGAUUAAGUAGCAGCAUAUGCUUUGUAGUAAAUUUACUCUCAUGGCUAAAUGUUCUGUAUCAUUACCUGAAAUUUAGCUGCAUACAACUGAAUUUCCAUUUCAGAUUCCACUUGGUGUGGUUCUAGCCAUUCCUCCUUUUAACUAUCCUGUCAACCUUGCCGUCUCAAAAAUUGCUCCUGCACUGAUUGCUGGAAACUCUCUUGUGCUCAAACCCCCAACUCAGGUAUCAAUUCAAGGAAUUACACAAUUAUCCAGCUGUUCUUGUUAGAAUGUGUUAGGUUGUCUUUGUGAAUCUGCCUUUACAAUGUCGAUGGUGAUCUCUCAUGUUACACCUACUUUGGAUCUAGGGUGCUGUUUCUGCCCUUCAUAUGGUACAUUGUUUCCACUUGGCUGGUUUUCCCAAAGGCCUUAUUAGCUGUGUCACUGGAAAAGGUUCUGAGAUAGGUGACUUCCUUACCAUGCAUCCUGGAGUCAAUUGUAUUAGGUAAAAUCCCAACCUACCAAUGUCUGGAUACUAAAUUAGCUACACCCGUAGUUUGGUUGUCUCAAUACAUAUAGUUUCUUACCGAUCAAUUGCGGUUUCACAGCUUCACUGGUGGUGACACUGGUGUUGCCAUUUCAAAGAAGGCAGGCAUGAUCCCUCUUCAGAUGGAGUUGGGAGGUAAAGAUGCCUGCAUUGUUCUUGAAGAUGCUGACCUUGAUUUGGUGGCCGCAAACAUAAUAAAAGGAGGUUUUUCCUACAGGUGAUUCGAGUCAAUUUUUUCUCUUUUGCUUACAUAUGUAAGCCACCAUGAAAAUGCUGAGUAGUUAGUCUUAACAUGACACACACAUCUUGUAACAGUGGUCAGAGAUGUACUGCUGUCAAGGUUGUGCUGGUAAUGGAAUCUGUUGCGGAUCCCCUGGUGGAGAAAGUGAAGGCCAAGGUGGCAAAGUUAACUGUCGGGCCACCCGAGGAGGACUGUGACAUCACUCCAGUUGUGUCGGAAUCAUCUGCAAACUAUAUUGAAGGGUUGGUUAUGGAUGCAAAACAGAAAGAAGCAACAUUUUGCCAGGAAUACAAAAGAGAAGGGAACCUUAUCUGGCCUUUGUUGUUAGAUAAUGUCAGACCUGAUAUGAGAAUUGCUUGGGAAGAGCCAUUCGGUCCGGUUUUGCCAGUCAUUAGGAUUAGUACCAUUGAAGAAGGUAUCCACCACUGCAAUGCUAGCAAUUUCGGACUACAGGUAAUGCCAUUUUAUAAUAACAUGACAUGAUCUAAUUUAUCAUAACAAUGUUCUUACAUGAGUGAUACAUACAGGGCUGUGUGUUCACCAAAGACAUCAACAAGGCAAUGUUGAUCAGUGAUGCAAUGGAGACAGGAACAGUUCAGAUAAACUCGGCGCCUGCUCGCGGUCCAGAUCACUUUCCAUUUCAGGUGAGCACUUCAGAAUUACACCCACCUAAUUAGUAUAGCUUGCUAACAAGGGCAUCAUAUUAAUACGGAACUUUGUGAUGAAUGACAGGGUAUAAAGGACAGUGGAAUUGGGUCACAGGGAAUCACCAACAGCAUCAACAUGAUGACCAAGAUCAAGACCACUGUAAUCAACUUACCAACCCCUUCUUACACCAUGGGUUAGUAAGUUGUGUUAAAUAAAGAAAGAAUCAUAGUAUUCAGAGCGAGCUAGCUAAUUAAUAAUUUCAUUUAGCAGACCGAUUAGUAAACUGUCUAAGUGUGAAUUUUAGGCUGCAGACUGUAACAUAUUACGAUCUUCUACGACGUAAUGGAGUUGAUGAGAAAGAUGAAUAACUGGGAUAUUCUUUCCAAACCGCAAGCUGUAUCAUGUGUAUUUAGCUCAUGUCAUAGCUCUUGCAAGAAUUUGAGGCUUCUUUUCUGUACUAAAUAGCUUUGUAUGUUACCCAACUAUUUUGAAACAUCUUAAUAAGAAGUUGUGCUACUAUGCCAAGUUUUGAACUAUGUUGCUACUUGCUAAUUUGCAAAAUAGCUAAACCUAAAUAAAUAAAAAAUAACAACCUUUAGGCCAGUACUUAACCUAAAAAGCCCACUUCACACUCACUCGUCUCGGUCCUCACUACUUAAAAAGGGACAAAACUAGUCGUAAUCUAGAUUAUGCUCAACAUCACUAACAGUCUAGCAUUUUAAUAUAUAUGUUCGACAUGGUUAGAUAUGAUUUUUAAUUAAGAUAUUAUCACGAACCAUGUGAAUCAAUUAACAAUGAUAUUAUAAAACGGUUGUUCUUAACCGGUUAAUGUUAGACCGCCACAAUUACCUAAACUGCCCGUCCCGAUUCCGUCUCUAAAAUUCACGGGAUGAGACGGGACUUCGUUUUGAAAAUUGAAGGCCCGGCCCGACCUGUCCCGUUUUGAAAAAACUGAUUCGGGAUCAGGCCUUGUUAGCUGGAUCUAGUUUAGGCCCGGCCCGUCCCGAAUUAAAAAAAAACCUUAAUUGUGUAAGUUAAUCUACACCGUUGGAUUGAUCUGUGCGGUACUUCACCCUAACUCUUUCUCUUUCAUACACGCCUCACUCACUCUCUCUCUCUCUCUCUCUCACCAUCGCCUCACUCAGUCUCUUGCUUUGCUUCUCUCAGACCACCUCUCAGGUUGAAAGAUCCACCUCUCAGGUCCCACUUCUUACCCACAUGUAUGUGUUUAUGUGUUAUCAUACCUGCAUCUAGUUUCAGUCUGUCAUUAAAACCAGCGUGUGCUAAGUUUAAAGGGCUAGUUUUGCUCCGACUAUGGUUUUGACAUAGGCUAGUUGUGUUCGUUGUGUAUCUAUGUUUUGGGAUUGCACACGGAAUGGCUGAAUGUUAGUAUUGUCAAUGUAGUUACCUUUCUAAUAUAGGCGGCCUGUUGCUUUUGUUCUUGCACUUGGGUCAGUUCAUCAGUUCAGCAGACGGGGAUGUCUGAAUGUAGUUUGCUGACCUAUUGUAUUGGUCUGAUAUACGAUAGUUGCUUUUGUUCUGCAUCUAGCAUUCCAUGUUGUCUUAAAGAAGAAAGGAAAACUGGAAUUUUUUGCAAGUUGUGCAAAGUUAUUACAUUCCCUGUCAGUCCUUAAGAUGUGAGCUUGCACUUUAGAGCUAUGAUUUCUUUCUUGGUUUCUCAAGUUUGGAUAUCACGGAGUGCUGUUAUAGUUUUUGAUUGAUAUAUGGCAUGCAUUUCUAUGUUUAAUCUAACUCUCUUUCUUUUCAUUGCUUAUACAGAGAUGAAGCUGAGGUUCCCGGUACUGCUGAGCCUGUGGCUGCUGCUCCAGCUCUAGGUGAGCCCAUGGACCUCAUGACAGCAUUGCAACUUGUGCUUAGGAAGUCAUUGGCUCAUGGUGGGCUUACACGGGGUCAUGAAGCUGCCCAGGUCAUUGAGAAGCAUGCUGCACAGCUGUGUGUUUUGGCUGAGGACUGCGACCAGGCUGAUUAUGUGAAGCUUGUCAAGUCCCUGUGUGCAGAGCAUAAUGUUAACGCAAUGACAAUUCCUAGCGCCAAAACUCUUGGAGAAUGGUCUGGGGUAAGUGGAAAUAUUCAUUUAUUGCUUUAAAGUACUUGUUUCGUGCACCUUAUUUUGCCAUUUUAUGUUCCAGAUUAGUUAUAAACAAAUGCAUUUAUUUUUCACCUGAUUUUCAUUGCCAAUAGAUCUAUGUGCCAACUUUUAAUUAUUACUUUCCUAGCUUAUGUUGAUUUGGAUUCUCUCUUCUCACAGCUUUGCAAGAUUGAUUCUGAAGGAAAAGCAAGAAAGGUUGUUGGCUGCUCUUGCGUUGUUGUCAAAGUAAUACUACAUUCAUUUGAGUGUGUUAAUUCGGUAUACAUCCGGUUGUUAUCUCGCCAAGCUAUUUCUCUUUUGAUGGUUUUGUUUACUUACCUUGGGGUCUAUUGUUUUACUGGAUUUUGGUGAAGAUACAGAAGGCCUUCAUGUUGUUCAGGAGUAUGUGAAGUCCCAUUCAGCAGUCAUCUCUUUGUUUAAACAAAAUUUAUAUGAAAAUGCCACUGAAGAUGUAGUCAUUUCAUAUCCUACUUCAACAGAGACCCUAGGUCGUGGCAUUGACAUUGUGAAGGCUGGUUGGUUAUUUCUUUUUUAGUUCGUUUAAAUUCUUUAUAAUGGCACACUUGUUACUUACCCCUUUCAAUUAUUUUUGCAGUAAAUCAUUGUGACGAAGAUGAAAAGUUGAAGAAGUUAAAUGUGGAACUGGGUAAUGAAGCAUAUGAUACAGUGAUAACUGCACUGUUGGAAAUGAAAGAGUAUAAUCCGUUUGGUAGAUACAAGGUAGAAGAGCUAUGGAAUUUCCAACAAGAUAGGAAGGCAUCAUUGAUGGAGGGAGUCCAAUAUCUUCUUAAGCAACUUGAUUUGGUCAACACUAACAAGUGACAAAGAAACUGAAGCAUGGAUUAACACAGAGGUCGUCAUAGUAUUCAUCCUUGUAGUAGUUUCUUUUCUGUCUCUGUGAAGUUCAUAUGAAUUGAUGAUAUGCUAGCAAUCAUGUAAGUUAUUAACCUCUCCUUUUAAUUAUUUUUGCAGGGAACAAACAUCACUUUGUGUUUGACAAAGUUUUUGAUCAUGAGGCAACACAACAAGAUGUUUAUGUAGAAAUAACGCAACUUGUACAAAGUGUACUUGAUGGAUACAAAAGACAUGAAGACUAUUGAGGCAUAUUCUUCACUGGACAUUGAACACGUUUGUAAGUUGAUUCAACGCCAUGAAGAGUGUUAAGCUCUGCCAAAGAGUUUCUUAAUUUGGAGUUGUCAGGCCUUGAUUAGGGGCUUAGAGACUUGAAGGCCACUGAAAAGGAAGUUAUUGAGGCAGUAAAGAGAGGCCAGCAGCUGCGCAAAGAUUACGAAACCGCAAAGAGCCGCCUUGAAAAGAAAAUCACCCAAUCAAAGGAUUCUCUUCAGCAUCAAAACAAGCUAGAUGAAGAACUUAAUCAUGCAAGGAUUAAAGCUGGAGAGCAAAACUCGACAAGGAGAGCUUAAAGAGCUACUGGAUUCUUUGAAGUCGUUUGGGCAGAGUAGCCCAGCUGGUAGAACUUUAGGCUUAGGCUUCUGAUUUGUUUUGCUCUUCCCUCUCCCAUUUUUGGUGAGUACUUUGGUUCGCCCCCUAAACCCUGGCAGAUGUGUUUAUAUCUUAAAAGUAACAGCAACGAGAAGCGAACCAAAAGAAUUGAGAUGAGAGUCAUGAGACGUGUGUAUAUGAGAUGGAUGAAAUGUUGUUUUAACUUUUAACAAUGUACUAAGGUUAACUUAGAGCGAUGAGAUGCUAGAUUUUAUUAUGGACAGAUCAUUGCACUUAACCAGUAACUCUGUUUCUAUUCACAGAGAACUUUUUUUUUUUUUUUUUCCUUAGAUACAAUACACAAUAAGUUUUGGUGAUUUGAAUAACAAAAUGUUAGACAAUGUUGCAAAUUAAUUAGCACGAUAUGCUCUUUCUUGUUAUUUAGUUUACGCUAUAGAAUUAGAUGCGAAAUCGAUAUCAUCAUCUGUUAGGAUUAAGUUGGCUUAUUUCAUUUUGGGGUGAUUGAUUGAUUGAUGAAAGGGUUCGACUUUGGAAUAUAUUUAGCAAUAACAAUAUAUGCAGCAUUUGGUUGGUCGUAUACAACUGACCUUGUUUCUUUUCUUUUCUUUUCUGGUGAAACAUCUUAUGCUAUGUGAUUCCAAGUUCACGUUAUCAUUUUCAAAAAUGAUUCUUACAGGACUGUGCUUCAAUAUAGCUUAAUUAGGAACUUGGGAUUAUGUACAUAAUUUGACACGUACAUGCAAGCCGGAUAAAAUGUCUUUUUAAGGAACAAAAACAAGAUAAUCAUGUUUAAUUUCAAGAUUGCAUUGGUAUUAGUUGUAAAGAGAGACCUUAUGACCUGAAUAUCAAAAAGCGGAGAUGUGAUUGGUGAAAGACAAGGACAUAUGCCUACAUCUUUAGUUCUCCAAGUUAAUUUAGUUGGAUUUUACUAAAAUUGUUUUAAAAUAUUAUUCGUUUGUCUCGUUUUUUUUUUGUUUGUCACAACGAUAUAUAUAUUUUAAGUUAUUUGUCUUUAAAUUACUAUUUUUUUGUAAGCAUAUGCAUAGUUUCUUUAUAUAUAUAUAUAUAUAUGUUUAGACAUCGACAGAACAUACGAUAAUUACAAUUCUUAGCUUAUACUUACAAAAACACAAAUUAAUUCUUACUCCCCAUUCUCAACGCGUAAAACUAACGAGUAUAAUUUCAUAUAUAAUGCUAAAACACUAAAACAAGAUGAACAUCGAAUACUAACAGAUUUCAAUGUCCCUCUCGUUGUGGUUAGAAUCGUUCCGUGAUUAAGAUUCCUAUAGUUUCAUAGCUGGGUACAUUUAGUCGUACGUGAUUUGAUACAGUGAACUUGGCUAGCUCAGCAUCAACCAAAUUAACAACUCCGUCGAUCCCAAAAUGAGAGAUCGUCCACGAUAUAUAGCUAGCUGUUUCAAUCGAACACAUCUCACUUCUGUAUAUCUGAGUGUUAAAUUCAAGAUCAUAUAUAUAUUCCACUGCUACUUGGUCGUGAUUUCAGCUAGCAAAGUUUGAGCAUAUGAUUUGUUGAAAUUCUGAAACCCAGUUAAACAAUGUAUAUAAUCAUUCUGGUAAUCUUUCAAAAUAUUCAGACUCUAGCUAGUAUAAUAUUCAGACAUGUUCUCUGGAUUCCACAAGAUAUGUUUCUCACUCUUGUAUUCUAAUACCAAUGGAAACCGAUGUGAAAGACAUUAAGUAACUAAGUAACAUAGAUAUUCAGGAAACAAAUUGUUAUUGAGUAGCAUUUCACUACACGUCUACAUCAGAAUGCGUAUCAUUUGGGAAUGCAAUAGAGUCUACGAUAAUGUCACUUUUCAAGUGUCAAAAGUAUUACAAAUUAUGAAUCCAAACUCAAAAUAAUGCGGUCGUUAACUUAAGCAGAGUGAAAUGUGCACACUAUAAAUUACAAUCUACACACCAUAUCCUACAUUUUUAUAAUGAAAUAUCUAAACUAUUUAUGUUUUAAUUUCUUCAAGUUGUCAAUGGUAUGGACAGUUUGAACAUUUUCUUGUAAAAAAGUGAAGUAUGAUGUGUGGAUUGUAAUUUAACGUAUGUAAAUUUCACUCUCUUAACUUAAUAUAUACAAAUAUUUCAUCAUUUCAAUAUAUGUUGAAAUUGUUGAUACAAUAACGAUAUUAAUUAGAAAAUGUAUGAGAAAUGAAGAGUAGUGAGUUUAUUGCAUAAUGGGGUUUAAGGGAUAUUUGCAUAAACGUAUAUGCAUAUUUGAAUCGACAUCGAUCUGACUUCUUUGUUUAUUGGUUUUAUAAAUAAAAAUAGCGUUCGGUAAUAAUUUUACUUUUAACAUCAAAUAUCACCGUACACAUCAAAACAUAUGAAAGAAGAUAAGACUAGUCUAAUAAAAAAAAACCACAUUAUGAAUUUGGUGUUGAUAUUAUUGUUUUUUUAGGGAACUGUUUGGAACUUUGGAUAAGACAGAAUUUAAGCAGUUAGGUUCAAGUUUAAAACUUCAAACCAAGCUUAAACAACUUAAACCACUUUUAGUAAAAAGGUAACGCGCGUCCAGCACAACACGGUGGUCGUACUCAACACAGUAACACAACCCCUCGCAAUCAGUUAACCCUUAGACUAGUCUCCUCCUAACUAGUCUCACCAACCAAAGGCCCUGAUCAUGACACACUCAGAUUAUAUAAGGGACUCCACACUAAGCCUGUGUGCCCCAGCCACACCAUAACAAAACCCCUCCCUUCUAUUUAACCCAGCUCCAAAACACAACACAAAUUUAAGAAACCCAGAAAACAAAACCGUAACAGUUCAGUUCAGGACUUGAGGUCAGUCUGUGAGAAUUGAAAUGAACUCUCUCCUAAACCCACAACAACAACAACAGAUCAACACCACCGCCUCCUCCGCCGUCCAAGACCUCCAGCUCCACCACCACCACCACCGCCUCCACAUGAAUAACCAAACGACGCCGUUCGACUCCUCCCACGACGACUUCCUCGAGCAAAUGCUCUCCACUCUCGGAAACCCCUCCUCCUGCUCCUCCUGGGCCGACGAAACCCCUCCCCUUCCUCCUCCGCCGCACUCCUCAAACGACAACAGCAACAAUGUCGUUUUCUCCUACGACGACUCCUCCAACCUCGCCUCCAAGUUCCGCAGCCACCAGAUCAGCGCCGGCGCCGCCGCUGCCUCCAAAUCCUCCCCGAAUGCCUCGGCGGCUGCCGCCGCCGCCAUGAUGCUCCAGCACCAGCUCAUGAUGUCCCGCGGCUCCUCCGACUCCGGCUACGCUCCGAUGGGGCUCGCCUUGGGCAGCAACGGCGAGUUUGACCGCUCGCAUAACGACGUUGACGGCUCGUCGUUUAAAUCUCCUAACCAGGUCAGUUUGUCAGCUUCUUAAUCUCAGAAACCGGAUGGCAUUAAUGUAAAUAAUUCUACAAUAACGGCGGCGGCUUUUUACAGGGCGGCGGUGACGGCGGUUCUUCUGUUCAGGCCUUGUUUAAUGGCUUUACUGGAUCUCUGUCUCCGAACCAGCCUCAGCAUUUUCACCACCCUCAGGUAUUUUUAAUCACAAUUCUCAUCAUUCUUUUUCUCUCUAAUUAAUCAUGAUUAGUUUCUAAUGACGUUUUGAUUAGGGUGGUGCGCUUCAAGCUCAGAACUAUGGAGCUCAAGCACAAGGCAUGACACAACCUCCGGCGAGCGGCUCAGCCGGGGCCACGGCUGCGCAACCCAGGCCUAGAGUCAGGGCCAGGCGAGGUCAAGCCACUGACCCACACUCCAUUGCUGAAAGAGUAAGUUAUGGGAAUCGGAAUAAUUAAUAGUGUUUCGAAUCAUUGAAACUUUGCGAUCAGAUAAUAACAAAAUUAGUUAGUCACGAAGCACUAGCAUUUGUUUUCUGUUUUACAUUUUUGUUCGUAUUAGCUUGUAUUUGUCUGAAAACGGAUAUUGUUGCAGUUACGAAGAGAGAGAAUUGCAGAGAGAAUGAAGGCCCUGCAGGAGCUGGUUCCAAAUGCCAACAAGGUAAAAUUAAAAUUCGUUUAAUUAUUCAUUUCCCGAUCAUACUUUGUAGUUAAUUAGUUGAUUAAAGAGCAUAAUUAUGGGUCAUCAUCAAUAUUAUUUGUUUAAAAAUUUUGAGAAAUGAAGCUCCUCAGUUUCCACCUCCCCAGUGGGAAACCUCCGUAUCUGUAACUGCAGAUAAUAAUUCAUGAAAUAUCAUUUUGUUUUUAGAGUUUAGGGGACAAGUGUCAGAUAUCUAAUAAGGGUCAUUUUAUUAUAAGAAGCCGGAAAUAGCAAAGUUGGUCCCGUACGACUCUAAUUGCUUUCCUAAGUAUACCUGGAAUUUCUUAAUAAAUUGGGUAAUCAUAGUGUACAAUACUUCUACCAAGAUUAAGUACCUUGAUAUAAGCACUUCUUAUUUCUUCUUUUUCAAGAUGAUAUGAUGUUGUUAAUUAAAUAAAAUUUUGGAUGUGGGUUUUUGGAAUGACAGACAGAUAAGGCUUCAAUGCUGGAUGAGAUCAUCGACUAUGUAAAGUUCCUGCAGCUCCAAGUCAAGGUAAUUUAGAUGCUUUGCUCUCUUCCUUCCUCUAAUUAUUGGUUCUGCUUAAUCCUUUUGAUUAUCUUUAAUCCAAGACCCUCUUUCUGAUAGCUUAAACUAAAGAAAAGGAAGGAUUCCCUGGUUGACAUUGUUUGUUUGGAUAUGAUAAUCAAGUAAAGAAUUAGCCUAUGAAUUGUAAAGUGCGAUCAAUGUAUGGGGAAUAUUAAUUUUCUCUCUGUCACUUGUAGUAUAUAUAUUUACUGGUUUUAUGCUCUCUUUUUGGGUUCAACAGGUUCUGAGCAUGAGCAGGCUGGGUGGUGCUGGUGCUGUUGCUCCCCUCGUAGCUGAUAUGUCCUCUGAGGUAAAAUCAACAAGUUCAAAAACCCUAUCCCCGUAAUCAUCACACACUACAAAAGUACAAAUCAUCUGCAUUUUCGCAUUCAACUAACUUAUAAGAUUGAAAUUUCGGAAUUAGUAUAAAUUAAUGAUUCAAAACUCCGAUAUUUCAAUACUCCGAAACACUAUGCCACGAACCCACGAACUAACUGAACUUUCCACCACAAUGAAACGACAAAACUAAAGCAGGCACGCGUGCCCACUUUAGAGAUUCCUCCUUCUACUCUCUUUUAUGAGAAACUCAGCCUUUUCUCUUUUGGCUUGUCUUUUUCCUUUGCUUUCUUUUUCACACUCCGAAAGUUUAUUUACGAAAAUGUUUUAAUUUCCUUUGGGUGGCUGUAGGGAGGCGGUGACUGUAUCCAGACCAGCGGCAAUGGCGGGACCCGCGGCCGGAGCAACCAAACGGCGUCGUCGAACGACAGCAUGACGGUGACGGAGCACCAGGUGGCCAAGCUCAUGGAAGAGGACAUGGGCUCCGCCAUGCAGUACCUACAAGGCAAAGGCCUCUGCCUCAUGCCUAUUUCCUUGGCCACAGCUAUCUCCACCGCCACGUGUCACACCAGAAACCCACUGAACAACAACAACAACAGCAGCAACAACAACAACCCUAUCAUGGCAUCCAAAGGCGGAGAAGGACCGUCGUCUCCCAGCAUGUCGGUGUUGACCGUCCAGUCAGCCACGAUGGCCAGUAACGGCGGGGUUGACGGUUCCGGUAAAGACGCCGCCUCCGUCUCCAAGCCGUGAGAGUUGCUGAAUCCCCCCUAACGUGACGUGGACCCGAAGCAAAGUCUACUAAAAUAAGGCCCUCUUUUCACCAAACGACGCCGUAUUUGCGUAGACUUUGGCUCCUAUAAAAAGCCUAGCUAACCACCACCUCCCAGAUCCCUAUGAAAAUCCUGUUUUUUUCAUGAUUUUUGGGGUUUCUUUAUCUUUUUAAUUGCUUUUGUUCUUUUGUCGCUUCUUAAUGUGAGCUUGUUUAUCUUUGAUAAUCAUGAUCAUGUUGCUCUAUUAUGAAAUGAUUAGUCUCUAAAUAAUAAUGUGGGAAUUAUUAAAGGAUCAAAAGGAGAUCCAGGAGGGUUUGAGUUUUAUCAAAUUCUAAUAAAAGGAGUCGGCAGCUAACUACAAAAGCUCCUGUGAUAAGAGUUGUUUUAGGUUUUGGCUUUGUUUGCUAAAGUUUGAGUUGGUGGUUAUAGACCAUAUCAAUGCGGAUUAGAUUUCCGGUCAACUCAACGUCUUGUAUUGUUCUUCUUGUUUGUUUUGGAUGAUUGAUUUGGAACACUGGUUUGACUACCUACUCCAUUCACUUGCUUCAGUUGAAGUCCUUGAGGACGAUGACACGGACAAAAGUUUAUCUUGAAUCCAUUAUCUCACAAUCGCAUGCCAAGUUUCGUCUAGGGUAUCUAUACAUCAAGCAGAUUAGUUCGAUUCAGAGGUAAACUAUAUGUAUCAAACCAAGUCUAGUUCAUAUGUCGAUACAAAUUUAUCGACCACCUUUAUUUGCCCAUCAAAGUGCUCAACUUCUUAAUCUAUUGACACAUGUACAUUUUAUUAUCAAGAAUAAAGUUAAAUAAUUUAAAAAGACAUGUGUCAAUAGACUAAGAGGAUAGACAUUUUGUUUGAUUUGUUUGGCAAAUAAAGGUGGUCGCCUGAUCGGCAAAUUUGUAUCCGUUCAUAUGUCGAUACAUUACCGCAGAAUGAGCUAUUGCAUCGCGAAACUAAUCAAAGAUUAGCCAAAUGAAAGAUCGUGUAAGAUGAGCUUAAAACAAUAAUACAUGAAACGCAGAAAAAGAGAAUACACUCGACCAAAAGGAAAGAGUUGCGUUUGAGUAAUGAAAUUCAUAAAGGUGAUGCGUUGCUGUUAUUCAUCUCCAUAGUUGACAAACACAAAGGGAUAGAGAACAUCAUAAUUUAGUGUUCUUUGCUUUAUAAUUUAUAAACUUCAGUAGGCAGCAGACUCUGUGGUCCAGGUCAUACUCCUAUGAAUUUCUAAUCCUCAAAUCGACGACAGGAUGACGUAAGGCCUACCGUCAUCUUCUCUUCCAAGUCCCUGCUCUGCAGGUCAUUCCCAUUGGCAUGUAGAAUGGAAAACUGGAAACAGAAACCAGAAGGGUCUCCGGUAAAAAUGUAGUAGCACUUCUGCAGUUCUGCUAAAUGAUAUUGAGAGAAAGCAAAAAUGCACCUAACAGAUUCAAAAGCACUACGGAAAGGACUUACACAGCUAGAGAUUCCUAUAACAAUGGCUGAAAAUGUAAGAUGAACCUUAUCAAUCAGCAGAAGCAACAAUCCCCUUAAGAUAUUCAAGUCAGAGACACGAAUGCAAGCUCCCGGCCGGCAUUGUGAUUCGGAGGCGAUACUGGCGAGCAUGAACUUCCCAGCUUGAUUCUUUUCCAGAUCUCCAACUCAAUAUCAAAUGCACUUAUUUCACAUGGGAGUAUUAAGAGACAUGUAGUCCACUACUUAUUGUCAAUCCCUUCACAGCAUCAUUGAGGCAUUGACUCUCCUAUUCUAGUUCCAUAUUCUAAAGGUAGAAGAUAUUAUUCUAUAUCUGCCCAUAACUCCCAAUAAGCCAGUCAAAACACAUAAUCAGGGAUCAAGAUAUAAACUAUACCAGGAAGCUGUUAGUUUGGACUUCACUAAUCAGUUCAUAUAUAAUAAAACUCUGUAUGAAAUAUAAAAUGGGGGCAUUGAAUAUUGUUGAUGCAUCAUUUUCCAAAGUACUGGCAGAAGUUUACUAUCUCUUUUACCUCUAUUUCUAUCUGUCAUGAAGAGACUUUUAUGUAUGAUAGAAAUGCGAUUGCAGCACUGAAACAUACAAUAUUGAUGAAGGCCAAGAAAAAAUAUAUAUGAAUGUCAUCUACAGAAAACGUGUCUCAGAACUGACAUUAAUCCUUGAUGUAAAUUUAUAAAAGCAGACUACAACAUCUCUAAGAAGAUCUCAUCUAUGACUAGUAUAGUGAGAAUAAGUUCAGCCAACUCACACUUAAUAUGACACACAUGUGAAACCUUAGACUAUCUGAAGAGCACCUAGAGGAACAAAUCCAGCAUCUAUCAGUAUGAUUCUUUAAAAUUAUGAAUGCACCACCAAUCUUCCUUCCUUCCUUACUCUUCAUCUAAUUGCAACCAUGGUAUUAGCACAUACGUAGCCUCAAUAUUGACCCAGCUUAGGAUCCAAAGGAAGUAUCCAUAGGCAACACAUAACAUAAACAAAUAUGCUAUAUGUACCAAAGCAUAUAUGAACCAACCUAAAGGGGUCUCUGACUCCUUGAAAGCAAACACUAGCAUGGACACAGGGUAUCUUCACACAAUAGCCUAGAUAUAUGGACACAGGGUAUCUUCACACAAGAAAAAAAGCGCAUCAACCACAAAAUUCGUUUUUCAUCCAUUAAUUAUACAAGAAACAUAUCUUAUCAAAUCAAAGUUGUCGUUGUUUCCAAUUAGUUUCUUACUCCAACAAAAUCUGGAGACGACAGUAACAUCUCUGCAAGCCUUAAUUCUGUUAUACAUCAUUUGCUCCAACUGAAUAAUGAAUUCAGCAUGCAGCCAGUAACUGGCCAGGAGGAUUCCUUCCGCCUAGAGGGGCCAAACGAACACCUUAUACCCCUGCCAAAAUGCAUAAACGCACUCACUCCAAUUAUUGCUAAAAUCGUCUCACAAGCAUUAUAUAAGGUGAGCCCCUAGAUUUAGCUUCCACGUAUUGUUCUAUCUAAAGAACACAGCAAUGUUAUGAAAUGUUAAGUGCUGACGUAUACAGCAAUCUUAAAGCAUAAACAGGCCAUCCAUAAAACUAGAAUCGGAAACUAAAUGUAGCUUUUAUACGCUUUUCUAUCCAUCACCAGUAAGUUUUAGACUUAAAAGUAGAUACUUAGUACAAUUACUACAAGACUAUGAUAGGUAAUAAGAGCAAGCACAUUCUGAUUGCUGACCCCAUAAAACCCAAAAAGUUAACAGAAACAGUUUAACUAGUGCUGGGGGGCUUGAAAGUAUAAGGUUGUGGAAGUGACAACGGACCUCUCCUCGAUUCUUUAUCAUCCCAAAAGCCUCUUCAGACUUCUGCUCUUGCAGUGCAGCGCAUCAAAAUGCUUCACCUGUAAAAACAAAACAACCCAAUAACGUCAAACAAAGGGAGCAUAAACCCUGAUGUCAUAAACCCUAAUGCCCAAAAGGGUCAUAAACCCUGAUGCCAAAAAUGAUCAUAAACCCUAAAGAUUGAAGCUUUACCCAAGAAGCACGGCAGUUAUUGACAAACUGAUCCCUGGCGGGUUUGCACUGUGCUGGGUAUAACAGACCUUUGGACCCAAUUUCAGUCUGCUUCUUAUCUGAUUCUUUCUCCAAACAAGCAUAGAACGCGUCUCGAGCCUGAUCGAACCCAUCAAAAUUUCAGAUUGAAUCCACAAAAUUGAAGACUCAAGAUUUGAAAUUUAAAGCAAUUAAACGAAUGAGUGAAUGCAAAGAAGGAUUAUCAAGACCUUAUAGCAAGCUUGUCUUGAAGCAGAGAGCACGUCGGUGUGAACCCCAUCUGGGUUUCGUGUUGCUAAAGCUUCUUUGGCCAUGGCUUCGCUUUGUUUCUUCUGCUAGUGUCUGUGAAAUUGAAACAAUGAAAGGGAGUUGGAGUUGGAGUUGGGUUGGUUGAAGUGAAUAGGCCAAGUUUAGGCCCAAUCAUCACUCGGGGCCCAAGGAGAUAACUUGAGAAACAUUAUUUUCUGUUAUAGCAAGUUUUCGUUGUGUUAAUGUUGAUGGUGUGAUUGGAGAAGGCAACAUUGUGGAUUCAAGUUUUCCUUAACAGUGUCCUAGUUGCUUUGCUCGGGUUUUACAUGCCAAUUUUGUUGUUACAUUUCUCUGCAGAUGUACUGUAAUAUAUGUAUGAAUUUGAAAUGUAAAGUAAAUAAAUAUGGAUUUUCUUACUUCUUCACCUUUAUCAUUUAAACGUGAAAUUAUGUAUUGAUUGAAAUACUUUUAAGUGUAUAUUCACGAUUUUCACAUAAAUAAACAUGUUAUUAAUAAGAGUAUUGAUGGAUUAUAAUAAACUUCUCGCACUUUGUUUCAAUCUGUAUCACUUUCGUUGGACAGUGGAUAGAGACAAUACGGGUUUUGGUAUACUUUGUUCAAUUGUAUCACGAGUUUUCACUCUUUCAUGGUAAUGGAAGAGGAUAUAUUCAGUUUUUCACUCUCCCAUCCAAUUCCAUUAUUCUAUCUCGUUCUCUUAUUUCUGUUUCGAGAAAAAGGUUUGCCUCGAUCUCUAUCUCGUAUCAGUCGUAUGUACAUUAUCAUGUGUCAAUUUCUACUGCACGAAAUGAUGUACAUUAUCCCUUAUUUGCGAUGAUCGUACAAACCAAGUAUUUCACGUAAUUAAUCUUUUGGAAGGAAGAGAUUUUAAUGAGAGCUAAUGUGCAGUUCUUAUCCUGUCUCCUUUAUCAAUAUCAAGUUGACACGUUACCCCUAACCUUCGACAUUAAUUUCGUUCUCGAUCGAUCUCCAUCUCGGAGUCGGAGGCUUCAGCUAUUCCUUUCACUAUGGUGUGGAUGUGAGCUCGAACUGUCUUUCGCACCAAACAGUAGGACUCGUGCAAAGACAAAUCGCAUUUACUACUAUAACUGCACCGGUCAAUGUCAUUUACUAACACUAGUAAUUAGUGAAACAAAGCUUGAUAGGGAUGCAUGGGAAAGAUUAACAUAGUUGAUUACGAAUCAAAGUGAUGGAUUAGCUGCAAACCCUUAGGGCUUAGGUCUAUAUAUACAGUGUUAAAGCGAAAAGGGGUAUUCGAUCAGAUCUGGUUUUCAAACACGGUUUCUUUCUCUCUUUAGUCGAGAGGUAGCAGACGAACAUAUAUAAGAGAGUGAGCUGGGGAAGAUGGUAGAGAGUUCUAAAGGGGCUGACAGAAGAGAGUGAGCUCAGAUUACACAUUUGUAAUGAGUACUAAGUUUAUCAUCUUCCUCAUGCUACAUAUUUGUGUAAUGUGUGCUCACUUCUCUAUCUGUCAGCUGCAGAUCCACUCUUACAUUGGUAGUGGAUUCAUUUUUCAGGUUUCUUGGGUAUAGGUUUCAUCUUUGGUACUGGAUUCAUCUCUUUUCUUUUCACUCCGGUACUGAUUUUAGGUGAAUUGCUCAGAUGAUGAUGAAGUAAAAGUAGAAACAAACCCAGAAGAUAUAUGACACGUUGAUACAUACUUGAUGUAUAUCUAGCUAGGUCUGUCGCUAACAGUCUCUUUGAUCUUAUCCAUAGCAUUUGACAUAUAUAUUUGUACAUAUAUACAUCUCUUUCUCUUUGGUUACAACAGAGGCGUUUUUCUUCGAAGCAACACCUUUUUACCAUCAUAAUAUUGGUUAAUGUAAAGGGGGUUUGUACCAGGUCUCUAGAUUAAUAAUCAGAUUAUGGCCAACGUGUUUUCUUCUCUAAGGGGCUAUUAUAUGGACGGGCUUCUUCAUCCUCCAUCAAAUUGAUUCACGCAUAUAUGUAGGUCUAUGAGUUUUUAGUAUCACAACUAUACUGUACUUAAUAUUGAUUAUGAUUAUCCUUAUUUCUAAAGUCUCAAGCAAAAGUAGUAGCUUCUUUCAAGAAUGAAAUGUGUAGAUUUCACCUUAUUUUCCUGCACUUAACCCUGACUGAUCUUUCCUGCUUUCAAAUUUUCUUCCAAAAUUGAAUUACGUUCAGAUUUUGCUCUUACCAAUGAGAGUUUUGUUUUUGUUCAAAUUUGUUAGGCUUUUGGGAGCGCAGCAGCGAAUGUUUAUCUGUGAUAUGAUCAGAUUGGCAAGGUAACCUUUCGUUCCAACAAAUCCCUUUUGAAUAUGUACUCCACAUUCUACACCCUUUUUCAUUUCUACGCUUAAACUUUUAAUUGAAAAACUUUUUGCUUAAUAAACUGAAACAGGUUUGCCAGAUCUAUCAAGGUAAACUGUUUCAAAACACUGUAAGGUAGUCCAGUGGUUCUUGCCUAGUUGGGUAUGCUCCCUAACUUAGCUAGGUUCGAAUCACGACAUUGUCAAAAGUGGCUAAGGGAUGAGCUGCAAUGUCCUGUUGGCUCUCCGGGCCCCAGCGGAUUAGUCCUUGGGUCUAUGAAGCCUUUAAGAUACCGCGAUCUUGAAUCAAAUAAAUAAUAAGGUAAACCAUUUCAACCGUUGAAAUCUCCUUUGUGUUACUCUUAAUUAUGUUUCAUUUCUAUGGUUGCUGAUGUUUGAAGAUGUGAUCUUUGCAUUAUUUGGUUUGUCUUAGUGGGUUAAUUACCGGCCAAUUAUGAUAAAUGACAAGAGCAUCUGAAAAAUGUAAAGAUAAUAUAUCUCUUUUCUUCCUUAAACAAAAGUAGGAGAGGUCGAUAUUUAAGCAACAACAUGUAAAUUACAGGAAUGUGCAGCUAGCUCUCAUAAUCCACGUUAUUUGCAAAUUCAUAUAAUUUCAGUGAUUAUCUAUAAUUUUUUCUUUUCUUCCUUCCACAAUUGUUAAAGAACAUUUAAAACUGUUUACAUUUCAUGGAUCUUUUAUAUUUCAUGUCUAGCUAUUUGGGUGGUAGACUUGCUUCUCUGGUACUAGAAGUGUCGUAUGGCCGUUGGAGUUCAAAAGCAGUAAAAAAAAAAAAACUCAAAGUUACUGCUUAUAUCGGAAAAAUUCAUAUUUUAGCAAUGCAAAUAGCGUAUAUAUAUGUUGUUAAUUGUUCGUCAAAGAAAACUAUCAUAUAUAUUGAACUUUGAAGUAAUGAAGUUGGUGUAGUCAAAUUACAAAGGUAUAUGUGGGAACAAUGAUACAUCUUAUUGUUGUUUUAUGCAUGUCUCCUCCCAGUUUUUCCAAUUUGUUUGAGUUCACUUAUCGUAUCAUAAGCAGAAUGGUCUGUGUUUUCCUAUAUAUUAUUAUGUUCAAAGCAACAAGACUUCCAGAAGCUUAAAUUUGCAUAGCCAUUGAGACGAUGAGAAUUGUAGACUCACCUAAUUAUUAGAGCACCAUAUAUAAAAUCUUUCUUCCCUGGCCAUCUAUCUGUUGCUCCAAAGCAUUAACAAAGCUUCAUUAGGAUCAAAUAUGGCCUCCUUUGUCACCUUUCAUUAGCUUCAAAAGUGAGAAUCUCCCUUAAAAGAUGAACAAAAGUUGAAACAGAAAGGGUGAGAUGACAUAGAUCCAUUAGGUACAUGCAUGUAAAAACUACUAAAGGUUUCAUGCACAAGAAACUUUGAUAUAUACAUAUAUAAAUGCUCCCAAACCUAUUCUCCAGCAGCUUGAGCAGCUGCUGACGGUGGUCUCCGGCCGAUUCUAGGCUGAGUGCCGCCACAAUCCGCCGGAGAGAUGAGAGGUGAGAGAAGACGGCCAGAGAACCCGAGCAGCAUUGGCAGUCUUACGUUUAGUCCUUUUAGGUUCUAUUUUUUAGUUUUUUUUUUAAAGAUAGGCCUACCAUCUUCCCUAGGCCCAACCCAACUAGAAACCGCCUAGCCCGCAACAAGCUGCUCCUAGCCCACUAAGGCCCAAUUAUCCUUGAACUGCCAUGUCUUGAAAUGUUGAAUACCCUACAGGCCUCUUUUCUUCUCACUCACACCGUCUCACUCACCAAGUUCAACACUAGCAGGAGCUCAAAAACCCAGAAAGCUCCAAUCUUUUCGAAAACCCAGAAAGCUCAAGCCUUUCUCAAGGAACCCAGAAAGCUCAAACCUUUCUCAAAAACCCAGAAAGCUCCAAUCUUUUCGAAAACCCAGAAAGCUCAAACCUUUCUCAAAGAACCCAGAAAGAUUCCAUUUUUAUAAGAAACCCAGAUGAGCAACAAGACGUUGCUGCUGGAGGUUUGCACCAAAAAGGGGUGGGCUGCACCCCAGUACUGUAUCACCAAGCAAGGCCCUGAUCACAUUCCUCAGUUCUCCGCCACCGUUGUCGUUAAUGACGUCAGAUUCGACUCUCAGGGCUUUCUCGGGUCUAAGAAGGAAGCUGAGGCAUCUGCUGCCGGAAUGGCGCUGGAAAAGUUUCUUGGUUAUCAAAGCCAACAGCCCAUCAGCCCAAAUGUCAAGUCUUUCUCUUCCCCAGGUAACAAGGUUUUACAAGGGUUUAAGGUUUUAUUGUUCAAGGAAGUUCUGUAAUCUGUAGUGGAAUUUUGAUUGUUUGAGUUUGAUUGAUGCAGUGAAAGUUGGUCCUUCGCUGAAAGUUGAUAGCAAUCAGACAUGGGUGAGUCUAAUUUUUUUCAUAUUUGAGGUUAAAGUUUCCGACUUUAAGAGUUUAUGUUGAGGGUUUUGCAAGAUUAGCUUACAUUAUUGUUCAUGAUAUGCUGUUGAAUUGGUAUAUUACGAUUUAAUGUACUUGACAACUUUGAGAAUUGGUAUGCUUAGAAGCCUUGUUAGAUAGAGCUCGAGGUUAAUAAGAUGUAGACUUGAUUAAUUGUUUUUGCUUUGCGUCCUGCAAUGCACUGUUCUUUAAUUGUUGAGUGUACAAGGAUUCAGGAUUGUGCAGUGUGUCUUGUUCAUUUAGUAACUCCUCCUUACGAAUUAUAUUUUGGUUGUUUACUUGGCUCGUUUUUGUUAAAAGGUUUUGAGUUAAAGGUUUUGAAGAUUAGCUUACAUUAUUGUUCAUCAUAUGUUGUUAAAUGGGAAUAUUACAAUGAAAUGUACUUGACUGAUAUGCUUAGAGUAUGAUUAAGCCUUGUUAGAUAGAGCUUAAGGUUAAUAAGAUGUAGUGUUGAUUAAUUGUUGUUUGAAUCAGGAUUCAUGGUUGUGCAGUGCUGUCUUGUUUGAUUAGUAACUCCACAUUUUACCAAUGAACUUUUGGUGGUUUACUUAUCUCGUUUUUGCACUACUGUGUCCUGCAAUUUUGACUCUUAAAUGUACUGUUUGUGACUUUAGAGUAGGAAAAAGCCUUCCUAGAUAGAGCUUAAGGUUAAUAAGAUGUUGUGUUGAUUAAUUGUUGUUUAUAUAAGGAUUCCUGGUGCUACUGUAUUUGUAGAGCUUCAGAUUAACUUUUGGUGGUUUACUUAUCUCGAUUUUGUGCUACUGUGUCCUGCAAUUUAGACUCUUAAAUGUACUGUUUGUGACUUUUUUGAUGGGGGAUAAAGUAGUUGUCUUUCUCUUGCAGGGUGACACUAAUAUCACACCGAAGAAGAAGGGUGCAGAUGAAGUGGAGCAGUUGUUGGCUCAGGAACGGAAGGUAUGCUUUGAGUUGUUUGGUUUUACUUGGUGAUUAUGGUUGGAUGAAGUCGCGAGCCUCUGAAACAUGUUUUAUGAUUAACCAGCUAUGGCACAAGGAGAAGCUUCAGCUUGAGCUGAAAAACCUUGAAUUGGCGAAUGCAAUUGAAGUGAAGAGUAAUGAGAUUCAACAAUUUGAGAAGAAACUGCAACAUAUGGUAAUCAGUACUCUGUUGAUGUCAAUGAAUUCUGUAUCUAUUUGUUCGUGGGUAAUCUAGUAGCUAGAAUACGGUUGGCUGACAUACUCUUGGCCAUUAUGUAUAAUAUGAGCAACUGCUGUGCUUUUUCCUUUCAGAAAGAGAUGGCAACAAUGGAGCAGAAGAAAACUGAAAGGAUGUUAUCAUUGGUAGAAGAGAAAAAGGUUUGUUGUCAGUUAUCUUUUUGAAAUUGUCAGAUUUGGAUGAAUGAAUCUCUUUGUUUGUUUCUUUCUUUCUUUUGGCAACUGAUGAAUGAAUCUAUGAAUUCUUAAAUUUGCUUAUUGACUUGCAAUUGCAGGGAGAAAAUGAGAAACUCCAUAUGAAAGUGGCUGAACUGGAAAAGCAACUCCAGGCAGUGAGUGGGGAUAUGGAAGGGGGAAAGAAGAUUAUCGGUCUCUCCGACUCUUUCAGAAAGGAGCAAAGCUAUAAAGAUGAACUUGAGCAGACUCGUAAGGCGUUGAUCAAUGUAUGUCAGUUUGUUCUUUCUAUUUGGGUGGUUUGUCAAAUAUGUUAUUAUUCUAAUAUUAUCUCUAAAAUGUUUCCUUAGCUAUACUUGUAGUUUAUAUUGGAUUAAUUUACUGAUAUUGAUUAGCCUUAAACAUAUUGAAGCCUCUUGGCCUGAUUUGUUGAUUUGCUAAUCUUAAUAUGCUCCGAAUUGAUGCCUUAAACAUAUUGGAAUCUACAGUUCUACAAACUGCCGGGAUUGUUGCUCUUGACAUUUUUACCUACCAAUUUGGAUCUUUGAAAUGUAAUUGUUAUUAUAAUACCUCUAAAAUGUUUCUUUAGCUAUACUUGUAGUUUAUACUGGAUUUGUUUACUGAUUUUGAUAAGCCUCAAACAUACUGGAUUAAUUUACUGGCAUUGUUACCUACCAAUGAGGAUCUCUAAUAUGUGAUUGUUUUAAUAUUAUCUCUAAAAUGUUUCCCUAGCUAUACUUGGAAUUCAUACUGGAUUAAUUUACUGAUAUUGAUAAGCCUUAAACAUAUUGGAGCCUCUUGGCCGGAUUUGUUGAUUUGCUAAUCUUAAUAUGCUCUGAAUUAGUUCGGAAGUUUGGAAGAAUUGUAGUGGAAUUAUAGGGUGUCGUCUGUAUUUUGAGCAAUACGGUGGAAAACCCAAGAAUGUUUGAGUGAUUUUUUCUGUGUUGUGCAUCUUAAGGAGCAUAAUGUAGCUAUCGUUCUUGUGUUAUCUUUGUUAUUUGCAGGUAUUAUGUGAUGGUUCAAAAGAGAAUAUUGGGGUUAAAAGAUUGGGAGAUCUUGAAUGGGAAGCAUUUCAAGUUGCAGCUAAAAGAGAGUAUUUUGUAGAAGAAGAGGUAAAUGGAAGGGCAAAGGAGUUAUGCUCAAUAUGGGAGAAUUACAUUGGAGAUUCUAAUUGGAAGCCAUUCAAGGUCAUCACGGAUAUGAGAGGAAGGAUCAAGGUACAUGUUUCACUGGAUUCUAUGGUUCUAAAAACUGCCAGGAUUGUUGCUCUUGGCAUUGUUACCCACCAUUAUUUCCUUGUACUCUAAACUCUUUUACUUCCCAGUUCUCACUUGGCCAACUGAGUUGCAUUUGUGGGUUGCAGGAAAUCAUUGACGAGGAAGAUGAAAAGUUGAAGAAGUUAAAGGUGGAACUGGGUAAUGAAGCAUACGAUACAGUGAUAACUGCACUGUUGGAAAUGAAGGAGUAUAAUCCGUUUGGUAGAUAUAAGGUAGAGGAGCUAUGGAAUUUCCAACAAGGUAGGAAGGCAUCAUUGAUGGAGGGAGUCCAAUAUCUUCUUAAGCAACUUGAUUUGGUCAACACUAACAAGCGACGAAGAAACUGAAGCAUGGAUUAACACAGAGGUCGUCAGUCUUCAGCCUUGUAGUUGUUUCUUUUCUGUCUAUGAAGUUCAUAUGAAUUGAUGAUCAGGCAUACUAGCACCUCUCCUUGUAAAGAUCAAAUGGAGCUUUUAAAUACUAUAUACACUGAGCUUGUAUAAUUCAGUAUCAAGGUUACCUAAUGCGAGUCCCCAGGUGUUUAGAGAGGCAGCUGGGUUGUUUAGAUACAAUGUUGUAAUGAGAAACCCAUCCCGAUUAUAUUCGGAAUCCAGUUCAGUUUUGUUUGUCUGAAAUGAGUGUUUUUUUUUCUCUGGUUCUGCUCAUGCCUUUUUUUGCAAGAUUUACUCUUCAAUUUCUCAAUAGGAGAAUGACUUGAUUAGUUUGAAAUGGUAUUUAAAAGCUCCAUUUGAUCUUUACAAGGAGAGUUAAUAACUUACAUGAUUGCUAGUAUGCUUGAUCAUCAAUUCAUAUGAACUUCACAGAGACAGAAAAGAAACUACUACGAGGCUGAAGACUAUGACGACCUUUGUGUUAAUCCAUGCUUCAGUUUCUUUUUCGCUUGUUAGUGUUGACCAAAUCAAGUUGCUUAAGAAGAUAUUGGACUCCCUCCAUCAAUGAUGCCUUCCUACCUUGUUGGAAAUUCCAUGGCUCUUAUAUAUCUAAUUUUGUUAAACUUGAACACAGGGUCAUCCUUCUUGGUACACUAUUACAUUCUGCAGGUGCCUCAUAGAAAAUGAAGUAUAUACGUCAACUGGGGAAUGCCUUGUGUGUUACGGUGGAAUAUUCAUUUGAUCUACCAACAGGAUUCAUUGAAAUUGAGACCUCUCUGAUUUCAUCUGAUCUUCUGUGACUUUACUCUAAUUAAGUGACAUACGUAAAUAAGUCCUAAUACAGUUUUCCAAGUGGUUGAAUUAGUUCAAUUUUAGUCAAAUUCAUCUACAAAUGUCAUUUUGGUUUUGCAACCUUUUCUUCUCCCUUACCCACUAGGAAUCAGUCUUGGACUUCCCCAGUAGAAAUUGGAAUGUUCAACCUUUACUAGUUUAGUUAAUUCCCUUACCCAUUCGGAAACUUAAACUUCCCCUUUCCUAUUAGUAAUAGAGAAAAAUGCAGCAACAGUGCCUUUUUACGUUCUUUAUAUAUUACGAGCAUUUGGGUUAGGCUUGAACACAUCAUUUCUGCAGAUCACAGAAUUGAAAGUCCGAGUUAAAAACAAUGCAUCUCAAAGCUAAUAAGCAAGCAGAGAAGUCACUGGGUGGUGGAUGGAGAUUUUUCCAACAAAAAUCCAAACUCCAAAAGGCCUCUUACUACGAGGAGGUUAAAUCGUGGGCAAAUGCCGGGGCAGCAUACAUCAAAUAUGCACACUGCAGAAAAUCGAAGACUACUACUAGUACUGACGGCGAUUAUGAAGCCGCAUUGCGUUAUGUUGAUGCUGCACAAUGCUACAAGAAAGAGGCCAUUGCUUGCUUAGAACAGGCAGCAACUUCCUUUUGUGAAAUGGGAUUGAAUGGUUCUGCUGCUCUACAUUAUCAAGAAAUUGCGGAAAUGUACGAAUCUCUUCUUGACUUUGAGAAGGCUGAAGAGUUCUUUGGAAGGGCAGCUGAGUUGUUCACAGAACCGAUGAGUCGUGACCGCAGCAAAAGGAGAGCUGCUGGAUGUGCUAAUCGGAUUACUGAAUGAAACCUGUCCCGAGUAUAUGUCUUGUGAUUUGUGAAUACAGUUCAGUUUUAUUUGUGUGAAAUUGAAAAUGGUGAUUUUUUUGAUCUACCCAACACUAGUCAUCGAAGUUGAGACCUCUCUAAUUUCGUGUGAUAUUAUGGUGCAACAAAACACUGAAGUGACGUAUAUACGUACAUGUCUACAUGACAAAGUGAUCAUAAAUCCUUAUGUUUUGGCUGUCUUUGUAUCAUCAUAUUACCAUUUGAUCGAACAAACAAAUUAAGCAAUGACAGAUGCGUAAUUCACCUAAUAACUAGAACCUUCAUUUGUUAUGAUGACAAUUUUUCCAUUAUCACACUGUUUCCUGAGGAAAUUGGUUUUGGGACUCAUUGGUUAAUAGGUAUCAAUAGCAUUCAAAAGAAAAUUAAUGCCACAUAUUAACAGGUGGGAAAGAUCAGAAUUGACAAGGCAGCUAACAUGAGAGAGAGAGUCUCAUAUUAUUGAAAGCCAGAGAUAAAACAACUGAAUGAAAACUUGGAAAGUUGAACAGAGAAAUCAGAAAUGUUACCAUACACCGGUUUGUGAAGCAUAUGUUAUACACUGAUAAUCAAGAGAAUGUAUCAGAUAUAUUAGACCAGGUCCAUGUUCUCUUCUACCCAAUUUGCUAAUACAUUAUGCAAGUUUGUCAUAGAUUCCUUGCAUUGCACCUGGGUCUCAUCUCAUAUACAUCCACAAUUUCACCAAAUUAUGAAUGUUAAUUAAUUAACUUAAUUGGUUAUAAUUAGCGGUAAUCAAACCGCGGGCGCCCGCAGUAAUCAUCAACCUUAAGCUCUUAACUCAUACUGUGAAUUGGCAAAUUGGCACAGAAAUGAUUGAAAGUGCUGACUUCAUAUGCAGAACAUUCCCCUUAAUCAUGCAAACAUGAGACAUGAUUUCAAGUUGAAGUUGGUGGUCGAUCACUUAUGAGAUAUUAGUCUGAUUUAACAACUGAGCUACUAAUUAUGCAUCUAUUAGUGACAUUAUUAUAGAAACCAUCAGCUCACCUUCCCCAGUUUCUCCACUAAUGAGAGCAACAGAAGAAACCCAAGAACAAAUGCUGUGUUUUUAUGUCGAAACACAAUGCUUUCCAAGAAGACAGUUCUAUUAGCUAGGGCAUGUGCACCAGAAGAAAAAGACCUUGAAAUAACACCAAAGCCAUGUGCCCCCAUUUGAUAAUUAUGAAUCCUGUGACUCUAAUUUGGCUAUUCUCUCAGUCAUAGUCGGUACUCGGUGUCUUACAUACUCAUUUGUACAUCUUUAUGCAACCUAGUGGUUCAUAGACAAAGACCUCUCUCAACUCUCAACUCUUGAGGCCCCUCCCAUUGUUUUCGUUACAUUAGAUUAGAAAGCAAUAGCAUUAAUUUGGUCGAAAAUUAUACCGCGCACCCGUCAUCUCCACCGUCGAUUUUGACGCAGACUUAACAGAGACUUUUUCGCUCGUUAAAAUCGACGGUGGAGAUGACGGGUGCGCUGAAUAGGCUCUCUAAUUUGGUACAGAUAGUGUCACUUCCUAGCCUCCAUUUGAAUGUGGACUAGUUUUUACCAAUGAAUCUUUGUUUUAACGAUAGUGUGUGGGUUUUUUUUUACGCUGAAUGAUUGAGGAUAUGUGAAUAAAUCGUCUUAUCACUCUAUUUUAUUAAUAAAAGAAAAAAGAAAUAAAAGAGGGGGAUCAAAACCAAACCUCCCUAAACAAAUGAUAAAAUCAAAGGAGUGGUUAUAAUAUGAGUUUGGAUUGGACCGUGAUAGUCUUUCAUGAUCAAGAAACAAGCUUCUCAGUUUUCACUACUACUCUUUUUGCCUUUGAGAUCGAAUCAAGUCGAUUCUACUUCAGAUGAAUCGGGUAAAAAACAAGAACAGAUCAAAAGGUAAAAAGUUUGAUAAACACAACCGAGUCACAAGUAGCAUGAAAAAUCUCCAACAGUGGCUGCAAUGGUGAAGUGGUAGGUCUCUAUCGGCCAUGUUUGUUGAAGAACACACCUUGAAUAUUGGUAACAAAACAAAGGGGUGCAGGACAAUAAUUUAGCUCGCCAAUAUUUGAGUGAUAACGAUGGAAUAUCCAAUCAUGCAUGCAAAGGAUAAUAAAUUGGCUCUCAUCAAUCUUUGCCAUCCUCUCAUCUUUUGAGUACUAAAAUCUCAGAAAAGGAGUGGUUUCUGGCGUGUAUAGCAACCAGAGCAACCUACCCUUUUGCCUGAAACCGAUAUAUCUAGCACAUAAUUCCUAUACCAUAUAUGAGAAAUGAAAUGAAACCUGCAAUUAUCACUUUGUUUCUAGCAAAUUAAAGAGAAGCACAAGGAUUUUCAUAAUUCACAUAAGCACAAAUCACUUCCAGAGUUUCAGUUAUUCACACCAAGAAAACAGAGAAACACAGAAAGCAUAACAAUCAAAAGAGAAUUCAGAGCUUCAAUAGCCUUAAUUGGCUUCAAUUUCACACAACAACAACAACGAUAGUCACAAUUCACAGAAACAUUAACACUAAAACAAUGAGUACUCAAGCAGGGGGGGCCGAAUUGGUCCAGACAAUGUCUUUGAGCGCCGGUCUGAGCUCUUUACUACAGAACUGAUUAUACUCCAGAGUAUCACCAUUGUCUUUCUUCACCUCCACAACCAGAAACGACGGCGUCACAGCGAAAAUCUCCGCCGCAAUAGCCAACUUCCCUUUCCUGCCGCUCGCCUCGCCCUGCAGCCUCACCAUGGAGUCACUCUUCUUCACCUUAAACUUGCCGGCUUUCCCCACCUCCUCCAGCUUCGAUAUGACACUGCUCGCCGACCGCGUCGUCGCGAAUCUCAGCUCCUCUCUCUCCUCCCUCUUCUUCUCCUCAAACAGAGGAGACAAAUCGAACCCUUCAGAGAGCGAAAUGAUAUGAAACGCGUUCAAUGUCUCCAUCUGCUUCGAAGUCUUCUCCGUAGUCUCAUCGAACUCUCGCUCUUUCUUAGACUUCACCGUUUUCGGGAUAGAUUUUUUGAACCAAGACGAAUCCAUGAUCUUCGCAAUGGAGAUUCUGGUACUCGGGUUCGGGUCCAGAAGCUUCGUGAUUAGUCUUCUCGCCUCGGAAGAAAACCACGGCGGACAUUUGAAGUCACCUUUGUAAAUCUUCCUAUACAUGGAGACCAAGUUGUCAUCCUGAAACGGAAGAAACCCGGCGAGCAGGACAUAGAGGAUAACUCCACACGACCAAAGAUCCGCCUUAGCUCCGUCGUAGCCUUUUUUCCCGAUCACCUCCGGCGCCACGUAAGCCGGCGUGCCGCAAGUGGUGUGCAACAGCCCGUCUUGCUUCAAGUGCUCCGAGAAAGCACUCAACCCGAAAUCAGUGACCUUUAAGUCACCGUCUUCAUCUAACAGGAGAUUCUCCGGCUUCAGAUCGCGGUGGUAGACUCCUCGGCUGUGGCAGAAAUCCACGGCGGAGAUCAGCUGCUGGAAAUAGACUCUGGCCACGUCCUCCUUCAGUCUUCCUUUCGCUAUCUUCGCGAAAAGCUCGCCGCCGCGGACGAGAUCCAUGGCGAAGUAGAUCUUGGACUUGCUUGCCAUGACCUCAUGAAGCUCGACGAUGUUGGGGUGCCUCACCAUCCUCAUCACCGAGAUUUCUCUCUUAAUCUGCUCCAUCAUUCCGACCUUGAUCACCUUCUCUUUCCCCACCACCUUCAUCGCCAUGGACUUUCCCGUCUUCAAGUUCCGGGCAUGGUACACCUUCGCGAAGGUUCCAUGUCCCAGCAUCCGGCCCAGCUCGUACUUUCCGUGAAGCAAGGCGGAACCGGCGCUCUUCUCAUUAGCCAUGAUUUUCAAGUGCAACUAGAAAUAUGUAUACAAAGAAACGAAAAAAAAAAAGGGAAAGUGCUCUAAAAGCUAAGGUAACGUAAAGGGGAGAAAGCCGGGGAUGAAGGGGGAGAAUAGUUCACCCGUCUUCAACGUGUUUCCGGUGGCAGUUUCUGCCGCCGAUGCAGCGUUUGGCUCGUAUACACAGCUCAGGCUUUCUCAACGAUGCUCCUCUCAUCUCUCUGCAUUCCCUAAAACCCUUAAUUGAUAUAUGAGAGGUUUUGGAGAUUUUCAGCUUUGGAGAUUUUGGGUUAUGAAUAAAGAACCAGAUGAGCUCUGUUGGUCUUUUUCUUUCUCUCUGGUUUUUGCUUCUGCUUCCGGGUACUCACCGUUUGGGUUAUAUACAACUCUCCAGGUCUCAAAUUACGGUUUUGACACUCAUCGGCUACGGUUCCAUGCUCACCUCAUUCUCGCUACGUGUCGAGAAAUUAAACGUAUUUACGUUGGUCGGGACGUCACGGUUUCGGACACGUGUGAGGUUUCGCAUGGGUUUCGGAUACAGCGCAUGCGGACGAUGGGGUUAUUACGAUAUUACCCCGGUUGGAGAUUUUUGGCUGUGAAAUAUGUGGAUGAAUGAUGAUGAUGAUGAUAUGUAUACUACCAUGUAAGAUAAGCAGUAAAAUAGGGGAGUUGCAUAGGAAUUUCGUAUUUCAAGCGAGCCUAAAAUGGUAAUUACGUUAUGAAAUAUCAAAAGAAUUUUUACGGUCCAUCAAUCGGGUGGUAGACACGUGUGAGUAAGAUUGAUUAAGGGCCUUGGAUGAUUCUUACCAUGGCGGUUUGGUAAGUGACAAGUCAGCAUUGAGAGGUCCUCGAUCAUGCAGAGGGGUGGUGGGGGGGGGGGGGGGGGGGGAGUAUCCUCUGAUCUAGAGGGACAGUGACCUAACAUUUGAUUUCAAAACCCUACAAAUUUUAACAGCCGGUAACAGAAAAAACAAGGAACAAUGAUUUGUACAUUUGUGAAUUUUGGACCGCGAGUUCAUUAUUUGCUAUGUUCAGGAGUCAGGACAACACCAACUGAUUAUGGGAUUUGAGUUUUGUCAUUGAAAUGGUGAUGGUUAUCUUACUAAGUUUAUUGUAUGUGUUUAAUGAACCCGACUUCGGUAAUAAGGCCAGGUUGGUCACCUUAAAGUGACCAUAGCAAUGAACAUAGCACAUGUGUUUAUUUUAAAAGGUUUUGUUGCAUUUUAAAGACAUAAUAUGGAGUUUUAGGUAUUUGACAUGUUUAAUUAUUAUUAUUGUUGACACUUGUUCAUCUUUUAUUGGUGUUUGUCACCCAUAAUUGAUCAUAGCUAGUCACCCAAGUUAUUUUCGUGUUCAAUUUUGAGCUAAAUACACAAUGAUUUGAACGUACGUAUAACCUCACCGUAUAUCAGUAACAAUAAUAAUACAUGAUUAAGAAACGGUACCGGUACAUGAUUGAUUAAGAUCUAUUUCUACGUAUAUAAAUCUUGGUUAUGACUUUACUCUUGUAGUUGUGAAUCUGAUUACGAUGUGGGGUUGUUAUUCUUAUGAAAAACAACAAUGGUGCAUUGCUGACUUGUAGGUAGCUAACCGCUAUUAUGAAUCACUGGAAAGUUGAAACUAAAAACAUGCCCCGGAAAACCACUAGCUAGCUAGAUGAAACUCGAUCAGGAAUGCUAAAGACACAAGAGGAUUGCUCUGCAAUGCCUAUUUGUCUUGUACCAACAAUUUGAAUAUUAAAAACAAAUUUCUGGUAGAUAUAUCUGCCCACUUUAUAUAUAUAUAUUUAUACAUAUAUAUAUAUAACAGUAAUAAAACUGUAGAGCAGACCCCAAUUAUGGAUAUAGUAACAAAGCACUACGUACUGAAAUAAUUUAAGUCAGCUACAGUUCAUCAUACGUGGCUCUUCCUUCUAAGAAGAGUCAAAUAUGAAGGUCCUCCUGAAACAUGCGCAAUAGAGAGGUUCGAGAAAUUGCCAGGAACCUUUGCAUGCAGGUUGGUUAACUUGGGCGGCUGAGCUCAGUGACUGAAGAAGGUUCAGGGAAAGUUGCAGUUGAGCCCGCCCACGGUUUGAACGAUCAUGGCCGGCGGGGACUAUUACUGGGAGGGAGUCGUCACACAGUUCAACAAGAUAUGAGGAUGAUCGAUGAGAAGAAAUGAGUGGGGGAGUGUUCUUCUGGUUCAGGUUGCUUUCAUGCUUUGGUUGAUGGAGAAUAAUUGUAACUGUUUGAUGGAGAGCGGGAGGUAGGAGACACACGAAGACAUGAAUAGGUGACAUAUGCUCUGAGGCAGCUGUGCCUUUGUUUCUCCUGUUUGUUUCUGUUUAACAAGUUGACUCCAAAACCCCACACCAUGCCAUACCAUGCAUACUCCUCUCUAAUUUGUUUUUAAUUCCUGAAAAUGUGUAUUUUGUAGUCGUCUGUCUAUACAUACGUAUAUUCCGCUCUGUUCGACUAAUGAUCGAUGAAAAACCAUACAUAUCAGCAUCUGAAUCAUUUUUUUAUUUAUUUAUGCUAAACGACUAAAUUACAAAGAAUAAAGUCUUGAGCAACAUGCUCCAAAAAGGUCGAAAUUCAAAGCCUGACUAACAACAGCAGAAAAAUUGACCUCCCAACAGCAAAAAUUAGAGAGCUUGUGACCUAGAUUGACAAGUGCAUCAGCAACGUACAAAAUUUGCUUCACGAAACACAUGAUAUAUGAAAAGAGAUGUGAUCAAAGUAAUUGACAAUUAUUCCGAUAUCCUGGAGCAUCUAAGCCGAUUAAACCAUUUGAAUGGUGUAAACAAAGUAACAAACCUAGUUAUUCGAAGGUGCAUGCAUCUUCAAAUGAGUAGUCAGCAACAAGUUGAAUUUGAGAAUUCGAUCAUGUCAUUAUAUUAUUGGAAGUUAAUAAUACCCUUGUAAACCCUACCAAAGCUCCUUAGUUACGUCCAUUGAGAGACAUUCUCUAUGUCUAGGUUGGCGAUCAAUCAUAAUGCAUAUUCAUCAUCAUAUAAUGUACCUAGUUUAGAAUAAUGAAGGGCACGGGAAAUUUAAGAACAAAACCUGAAAUGCAAGAAACUAAGGAAAAUAUAUUAACAAUCAAUUUCUUAACAUUGUAAUGAUACAAGGUUGGUUAGCAAAUAUCUUUCAAGAAAAAUCGUAUACACAGAGGCUUUCGUAUUAUCGUAUAAAUAUAUAAUAUGCAUGCAUUCUUCUUGUUUGCCCAGGCCAGUAGGAACAUCAAAUCACAUCACAUUAUGAGAUUCGUUUCGUUUUGUUUCAUUAUUAUUGAUCGAUCAUUCGAUCUGAUCAAUCAACAUAAUUGAACUACUAGCUGAUAAACAUCUACAGGUAUUUGGGAUCGAUCGAGUUCAAUACUAUCAUGACUAACAAUCCACCGAUCGAUGCAGUCUUUCUUCGAUAUAUCAAUCACAAGCUAAUUAAUUCAAGAAUGAAGCUGGCAAGCUAUAUAGAUACGUACUUGUACCUUACGUAUAAGUAUAUAUACAUAUAUGUAUCAUUGGUAUUGCUUGUGUAACCCCAAGGCCUGCGCGUGAUGCCCUAAUAUUCUUGAUGAAUGAGAUAUUGUUAUUUUUUGAAGAUAAGAUAUGUAACUACAAUUAUGUGUCGCCUAUCUGUUGGACUUUACAUCAUCAUGCAUUAUUUCAAUAAUCGUGUACGUUCACCUUCGGCUUGCUUGGCCAAAGCUGAUGCUUGGGAAUAGCCUAAGCAUAUUAUAUAUUAUCAACUAUAUAUUUAUGUAUGUAUUUAUCUUUAGAAAUCAAUUGUUUGUAGCAACGUGCUUCUUUCUUUUGUAUUUGGCAUUUUGACAGUAAAAGAAAGGUACUGCUUCACUAUAUAGUACAUGUAAAAGGAUCAAUGUUUUCAUGGCGAUUUGGCGAAUGCAAUGCCAACCCUAAUUGAGUACGUAACUGUGCUCUUGCCUCGUCUUAAUUGUCGUCAAUUAUAUGCAGCCUUGAGAAGAGUAUGGGACUAUGAGAUAGAGACCAAGCUAGCAAGUGUGAGCCAUCAUUAUCAUCGUGAGCGACCUUAAAAUGCAUUAUUAAGCCUGAUCAUGAGUCUCUUAAUCAUGUUUUUGGAUCAUUAUUUAGACUUGUCCUUGUAGUCUCCAUUGGAACAGUGGUAGAACAAUUACUGGACAACUACCAUUAAUGCAAGAGAUAUAUAGCUACCUACCUAAAUAUAUAUAUAAGUAACUAAAAAAUACAAUUGCACACACUAAAACAAUCUUUAUGAGGUCAAGAAGAACUGUGAUGCAUAUAUGUGUGAUUAAUUGGAUGCACGAAUAGUAGUUGAACAAUUUGAUACAUUUUAAUUGAUUAAUGGCGUGAAGAACACUUUUCAUGUGCUCGAAAUUGAAUUUGCAUUCGAUCUUGCUUGUUUAUAGGUUUUCAUAUAUAAUUGUUUCAUGAAUCUCAAAAUAAUGGAUGAAUAAUGAGAGAAACAAGCUACAAGAUGAAGCCACGAAAAAAAAGUCAUGCACGGGCUGCUCGAUCAUUAGUUAAAUCUUGACAGCAUCUCCAGCAGCAUUGAUAAAUUAAAAAAAUUAGAGAUUUAUCAAUUUUUAAAUGAACCUUUACUCUAGCAGUAUACUUAAGAAGUUGAUAAAUUUAGAAAUUGAUAGAGAAAAUUGAUAAAUUUAUCAAUCUUUGGGAGACAAUUAACUAAAACUUAGCUAAUGUAUAUAAUUUAGCAAUACUGCUGGAGCAAAAGUUCAAAAAUUGUUAUUUUAAAUUUAAAUGUUGAUAAAUUUAGCAAUAAAUUUAACUCUAUUGCUGGAGAUGCUCCGUAGCUAAAUGAAAAUGUGACAUUAAUUUAGAAGAUGGAGAAGACAAUGGUGUGCGGCAAAUUUGUUUCUAUAUAUCUGGACUAAUUAACGUGGAUUAGUAUUGCUCUCGAUCUAGAAUCUGCAGCCUCCAUGGAUAAGUACUGGUUUGAUUAAGCUUAAUUUGGAUGCCAGUGCCAGACAAAACAAGCUUUUGAUCAACAUCUUAGCUUACCGAAAUAAUUAAGUCUAACAAACCGAGAUCAAUGUGAUAAAAUCGCCCGCCAGUUUUAAAAUCUGAAUUUUCUGGUGCUGAUCGCGCGGGAUAUACAUAAAAAUAGUUUGCUAGUAGUGUCUUGUACUCUUGUGUAUAUUGUUUUAGUUUUGUCUGACGUCCAUGGAUUAUGGAUCUGUGGCGCGCUCAAGCUAGGCAUAUGCAUGUUAUUGUGAGUCCCCAAGUGUUGCUGAUCGUCCAGAAAUCUGAUUUGAAUUGAAUAACAUGUAUGUUAUCUCCUCAUUUGGAAUAUAUGCAUCAAUAACUCGACCAUGAAUAAUUUUGAUCCUCCUGAUCAUCGAUCUGAAUUGAAGCACACUUUAUACAGCUAAUGGUAAAUUGCAGCGGUUUAGGGUUUAGUGACAGGACAGUGAAUGAUUCAAAGAUGGACGUGACAACUGACAACCACAGGGUCCAUAGUAAAACAAGCUGUACGUUCAACACCAAUAAUAAUACAUAUAAAGACAACCAAUUUCAAAUUAUUGUGGCAGUCUUUGGAUCUCCUCCUAGCUAGUUUAAUUUGCAAUAAUCAAGUUGCUAUAUAUUUGAUUCCUCCUACUUACAGGAAAUGAAGAGUUAAACGAUUCAUUAUCGACAAUAUUAUCUUGCUGUUUUGUACACUAGUGUUUCACAAUGCUACACCUGAUCGAUUUUCAAUCCAGGCUAGGGUAACUGCAUGCUUCAUGUACAAAAAGUUCCAGUAGAGAGAGACCCACAUUUCAUCGAAAAAAUUCUAUGCACCAACGUGCAAAUGAUCGAGCCGAGCAAUUAAUAUGCAGUAUUUUGAUAUGGCUAUAUACGUCGCAUUACAUGCAUAUAUACUAAUACCUUUAACAAAAUUAAAACCCAAAAAAAUAGUCUCAAGUAUUUCCAACUAAGGAGAUAAGAACACUAGGUCGAAGAUGAUGUACUCUUAUUUUGGACGACGUUUAAUUUGAUCGGAUCAAAAAUGAAAUUGAAAAGAAGAAAUUUAGGACUAUAAUCUUAUCCUAUAUCACGAUUUGAACACUUACACAUUAAUAGUGCAUGUACAUCUUGAAUUUGCAUGUAAAAUCCGCUCCCAUCAAACUUCAAAACUCCAUCAGCUCAUAUGAAAAAUCUAAUAAACCAGGGUUUGGCUCUCAGAGGCAAACAAGAGAAUGUCAUCCACAAACUUCUGGAUUUUGAAUAGACCACAGCCAAGCAUUCGAAGCAAGUAACUGAUCUCAGACGUGACCUCUAUCUAUAUAUGUCUUUUACUACACACACGCAUAUAUACAAAAUGAAAAAUCAUUUUCGUCGGACGAGACCUCUCUCUGUCUUUUGCAGUUUUGCUACACGUACACACGUAAAUUUUCUUUGCGAAUUCAUAAAAUGUAUCUUACAAAUUUAUAAAUUUCCUAACCCUAGCUAAUUCAUAUCAUAUGAUUGUUAAUUCGUCAUGAGUUACUAAUUCAUAAAGUGGUAGAUACAUGCAUGCACAUUAUCAUUUUCCAAAAAGAUACGCACACUAUAUAUCAUGAUAUUAAGUGGAUGCGUAUAUAAGUAGGAAACACAUUAGCUCAAUAAUAUAUAAAGUUGAUGGCUUUGUAAAGUAAAGCCAUCCAGUGAUGAAUAUGACAUAUGCAAUAACGAAAAUACUUAGUGCCCAAUUUUCCAUAUAAACUUUAAAGGUUAAGAAUCGAAUAGCACUAUGACUUUGAAUCAAGCGGACCAAAAGCGAAGAUACAGAAAGGAUUGCUUCUUCAUAUCCAUCACUCCAUGUUUCUAUAAUAUGAUGGUGUGACAUAAUUGACAUUAUAAAAGGUGUUAAACUGAAAGCUUACUGAUACUCUCUUUGGGACAUCCGAUAAAAUUAGAACAAUAAAGAGAAGAUUAGCAUGGUCCCUGCGUAAGGAUGACACGCAUAAAUUGAGAAAUUGUCAACAUUUUUUUUAAAAAAACUUACUGAUCGAGAUAAUGGUAAUUAAAAUAAAAUAGAAAUGUGAAAUUGAAAAUCAAUCACGCACGCACUUGGUGAGAAUUCUGUAUGGAGGAAUCGAAGGUCACAAGUCACUAUUAAGUAGUCAUUGUUUCUGGAUGCAUGGAGAGAAAUUGUCAUAACAAUAUACCUUAUCUAUGUCCUCGAGUCGUUGUUUUAGAUAAGCUAUCAUAUUUGGCCACUCAAUUACUCAAACUUCCUCUCAUUAUUAUUGAUUUCAAUUCAUCAAGCUACAUGCGAUAUGAUGAUAAAACCUAGCUAAAACCCAUAUAUCUGCUUAACUAUUGGUACUUAGAAGUUAGAAACCUCAAUAAUAUUCUCAAAUUAAGUUGAAACGUUCAAACUCUACACACCCAUAUAUAUCAUCAUCAACCACUAGUACUCUCUUCUGAACUAAUUUGCUUGCCACGUCGAGUAAUAUUACAUCAAUUAUAUGGUAGCUGAUCGAUUUUGACAGCUACAGACUUGUCUAUCCAAUAAGUUUCUGGAGUACUGCAUGGUUGGUCUUCAAAGGUUAUUUGGAAUUUGAAACUUCUUGCUUGCUGGAAUGGAAUGAAUUGGCUUGGACACUUGACUCAGACGACAACAAACUUUCUAUCAGUAAACUUGAGUAGAGAAUGAGAGAAUGCUACAUACAUUUAACUUCUGGGGAAUGAUAAAUAGGGAUAAACCCUAACCCUAUCUAAUCCUUGUCUAGCUCGAAACUACUUGUUUUACUUGAUUAUUAGGAGAAGAUCAAUAGAGGAUCGAUAAACCCUAACCCUGCAUCAUCCGUAUAUAGCCUUAAACAUAGUUCGAUCACUCUCACAAUUAACCUCGAUCUUCUAUAUCUUUUCAUUCUAAUCUUAGUGACAGGAUAAUUGGUCGAAAUCCCAUUCUGUAGUAUUACUGUAUUAGUUUCCGACUUUCAGUGGUUGCCUACUCAUGCAUGACACAAGCAAGUAUGAAUAUUCAGUGGAAAGGAGCGUGAAACUAACUACCAACCGGUCAGUAGUCGCUUAUCACUAGUAUGUAUAUAUAGUAGGAUAACUGAAGUUUUGAGAGCAUUACCAGAAUUAUCAUAUACUUGCAUUAUCCAAUCAAAAACGUACAUCGAAAAGACCGUAGUUUACAAGUCUGUCGGGUCUGUCUAAUGUUCUCUCUUUCGUCUAGGGAGCUCCAUUUUUUCAUGUGCUGGAGAAUGGGGAUCUCCAUCAUCAUAAAGCUUAUAGAGAAUUCAUGUGGUUGUACUUGUGAUAGAUCAUCCUGAAAUGGAAGACAAGUCUAUCACGCAUCGAUCUCUCUGAAUCGUCUUCUACAAUAAUUGUUACGGGAUAUACUAUUUGGCCUCCAUCUCCACGCGUCACUGUAAUGAACGAUGCUCAGUCUCUAGGUGUGUGUGAAAUCGACCUAAUUGUGUUUGCCAAAGCUACAGAGCAUCAUUUGUUCUGUGAGUAGCGACAUGUGUCUCAGCUCUCAAACCAUAAAAACCAAAACCCAAAACCUAACGGUCUUGGCAAUUUCAGUUUCUAGUCACUCCCUUCAUAUAACAUCCCUGUGGAAUGUUUGGUUUGAAUCGUGUAUAUAAGACGGUUUGAUGGGGAUGGGAAACCUAUAUCUCAUUUUUAUGUUUAACUAGCAACAACUUCUUUGGCUGACACUUGUUCGAUCGAUUGAUAAACCUGCUUAUGCUGACACUUGUUCGAAAGAAAUGUCUUAUCACCAUGCUAUAUACUAUUUGGUAAUGCACAAUCCAAGCCACGUUCAUAAUGUCGAUGAGCCAUGUUCUGCUGACACUUGUUCCAAAGAAAUGCCUUAUCACCAUGUUGUAUACUAUUUGGUAAUGCACAAUCUAAGCCGCGUUCAUAAUGUGGAUGAGCUGUGUUUUGGUUAGUUAAAAAAUUUAAUUGACAAUUUUCAUGAUUUUAAACCUCAUUGACAUAUGUAAAAUGUGAGUUAUUAAUAAACAAUUUACUUGUGGGUAUGGAACUUUGGGAUUUACUUUCAAAGCUUUUCAAAGCUCAGAAUUGGUUUAGAGUACCCAUCUAGACUGUUGAAGGCCCAAUGGCCCAAGUAAAGGUUUAGAGUACCCAUCUAGACUGUUGAAGGCCCAAUGGCCCAAGUAAAACUGAACAGAUAUAGCGAAGAAGAAUUGUAAUGCGAACAGAUCAGAGGCUUCUCAUUAUAAGUUCCUGAGACAAAAAGUUGCCAGAAAUAACAUCCACCUGCCUUCUUAACAUAACUUUCUGUUCUUGUUAUCUGACAAAUCAAGCUGUUUCUAUAUACAAAUUCAGAGUAAUCUGCUCUAGUCGAAUCAGCAUCAAAACUCACAUUAGUCAAAACAGAUCUACCAAGAAAUUGUCUCCAACUUAAAAGUUGUCCACAACAAGGGCAUGGUUAGUCAUAUCCUAAAACUAACAAAUCACUCGGUAUGAGUUACCAUUUUUGUUUCAGUCACUGGAAACUUCUCUUCAGCUUGCUUUUGCCACAUAUAAUUUGCUGCUUCAAGCCACCGAGGAUGGACCAGAAAUUUGUUAUGUUUCACUGCCCAGCGAGACUUUUCUGUUCCAGCAUCUAAUGCAACUACAUGGGUCACCGUUGAAUCCACUUCGGUUGAGCAUAUGGCUCCCAGCUGCUCUGCCAUCUUCCACAAGUGAUGACUACUAGCCAGGACUUUUGAAGGAAUUAUACGGCUGAAAACAACUUUGCACCCAUUCAGAACUUCCUUCCUAACAAUUUUCAGAACCUACAACAACACAUGUAUCAUAUGAAUAUAAUUGUCAAUACUGAAAGUAGUAGAAGCAAAGCUCUCCAACAAUAUAUAUCAAACAUAAGAAAGAAAAGAAAAUAGUGAAACUUUAGUUGGUGGAAUAUUCACCUGCCUCACGUCUCUAUCUACAAGAUUGCCUCCCAGAUCCUACAAGAUAGUUGCCAACGGUUUAGUACACAACAACAUCACAUUAUUUAAUCAAUAGAGAAGAGAAGAUGCACUCACAUAAAAGAACAUCUUGUGGAUUCGUUUAAGAAGAUCGAGAACAUUUGCAAGAGCUCCUUCAGGCUCACUCUCGUCACUCUUCAACUCUGAAAGAGACUCACAUGUGAACCCAAAUUGGGCACAACUAGAUCUAAAGAAAUGAUAUCUCUCCAUCAAGAUAAGAUUGUCCUUGUGCUUGAUCCAUGCCUACAACAACAGAUAGCAACAUUGAUAACCAAUUAGAAGAUUAAAAAAGUCACACGUCAUUAAAAUGAUAGCUGGUGUAUCCGAAACAUAAUUCAAUUGUACCAAGUAAUUGGACUUUUUAAGAUAUUCUAUCAUAUCACCCAAGAAAGAAAGAAAGAAAGAACUGUUUCAGACACCAUAUCCAGAGUUUAUUAUAUUGCCAGUGUACUCAAACAUAAAAUUUACCAUAACAAGUUCAUUUUCUAAACAUUUGUUUUGUAAACAUAUAUAUUAUGUUAAAUCAUUAAGCAUAAAGCUAGUUCAAUGAGAGGCAACAUAACUAGGUGGGCUUGACAUGGGUCGAAUGCUAUUCUAUCUAAACAAAUUUGCUCCCUUUAACUGUUUAAACAAAAUUUUAGUGAUGCAAGGAAAAACUUACAUUUUCUGUAUCAUCCAAUAUCAAAACAGCACUUUCUUGCCCAAGCACAAUAUCUAGACCCUUUUGAUGUCUUUGGGUGCCAUCAUCACGCGAUAUCACUCGAUCACCAAAGUACUCUUUUUUGGGAUCAAGCAACUUGGCCAUUUCCAGUGCAUAGGCUCGGUCACCCAUCGUAUAUAUGUACAUUUCAAAUAUUUCACUGGCUUCCUUCAAAAAUGUCCUAAUGAAAGGCCUUAACUUGGUCAUCAUACGCAUAAAAUCCAGUCUGAAGAGGCUGUCUUUCAAAACAUCUGAAAGUAUCAUAUUGCAAGCAAAAUCAAAAGAUUCAGGUAAAUACUCAUUAGGGUAAAUAUACAGGUAUCCAACUAGCAACCAAGAAAUGUGUGAACAUCAAACUGAAGCACUGUGCCACACAAGAAGAAAGACUUCAAAAGAACACAUAAAUACCUGGCAGAGAAUCUGGUGGGCACAUUAAAUAUUCUUCCUUUGCCGUCACAUGAUUCAGCAGGGUGGUAUUUAGUAGUGUAUGAUCAAGAUCAAGUACCAAAUAAAGUUUCUUAUUAUUUAGCGAUUUCUUAAUGUCCGUGUUGCGUAACCGGUCGAUUUCUCCGUCAUUAAGUCUUAAUCCCUGCACAAGCAAAUGUUUCACACUAUAUUACUGCCAAUAUCUGAUAAUGUAAAAUAAGCUACGAAUAAGGUACAAUUCAACUGGAAAUAGAUACAUGGAAUGGGUAGGUAAAUUUCAUUAGUAAAUUCAAUAUAAAGAUCAGGUGCUUAGGAAAUCAAACAAGUCAGACAUGACUGAUACAAAUAACGUAUGCAUCCAAUGGAUAUGUUAGUUUACUAACAAUAAGUUUUUGCUGAACGGUUCAGUAUAUCAUAAAUUACAGGUGACAGCUAAUGGGAAAGAAUAGUGUUUGUACAAACUAAAUUAUGGAAAACCAUAUGCAUGUACACUUCUGAUAAACCAAAGCAUUCUAAAAUCUCAAAUUUCAACUAGUCAUCCAGGGGAAUACCUUGUGUAUGUACCCAAAUGUCACACCAGACUGCUCAAUCAGCCUCUGGCCACAAAGAAAGCACAUAUCUCCAAAAGAUCCAGGAUGUGCACACAAAUCAUCCACUCCAGAUGCUUCUGCACAUAAUUCCAAGAAAUGAUCGUAAACAGGACAAGAGUAACUGUAUCCCCUCAGGUGGAGAAGUACCGUGAUAGAUAUGAUUAUAGUAUCAAAAGCAAUUAAAACUUGAUGUUCAUUAGUUGUAAUAUCCUGUGCCCAAAGCAAUCAAAACUUGAUAAUCAUUAGACAUAAACUCUCAUGCUUUCUGAACCACACACACACAAGCAAAUACAUUCAUUUUUGUGGGGAUGAAUCCCAAACUAAUACCCGAAUACUUUCUACAUUUACUUUUGGAUAGUUUCAAGUCAUGUUUUUCCCAAAUAGUGUGCUCUCAAAGAGAAAGAAAAAAAAAAAUUGUCUUCUUAUGUUUUCUUAAGACUUUUCCUCUAGAACACUAAACUUUUUCAUCACCAUAACUCAAGCAUGGUGAAGAAUAUAUGUUCUAGAACGUAAGGUUCAAAGUGCCACCAAACAACAUUUACAUCAAAACAGACAAGGCAACAGCAAAAGCUUUGCAUACAAAUCAAAACGUCAAGAGAUCAAAAUGUUACCUGAAAUUUCUUCAGAGACUGCUUGCGAAGUCAACGCAUUGGCUUCUUCCAAGAUUUCCACAUUCUCUACCUUCCUCCGUUUUACCCUGCAAUGCAAGUCACAAAUCGUAUCUCAAUUCCUCCAAAUAGAACCUCAACACACACACAUUUACACAAAUUACAACAUCUGAUCAAAACUCACACAGCAUCGGACACGAAAAAACAAAGAGAAUUCACAAACCUGCUCUCACUUUCAACAUCACUGGAUUCACUGCCACCAUCAUCAUCACCGACUGCUGCUUUACAUUCCUCAUCCGGUGACGACUCCGAAGAGCCUGACUCCAGUUCCGUCUCAAGAAAGCCAGCAAAUCCAUCACUGCUGGAAGAGUGCACCGGAGACUCGGCAAGACUCAUCUGAAAUUGCUCAGGCAAUCAAAUACUGAAACACAUUAACAAAUUUUAACCACAAAAUCGACAUAAUAGAAAAAAUAAUCAAGAUUUCUAAUCAGAAACAACAUACAAUGUAGAAUCAACGAGAUUGAAAAAAAACAAACCCUAGAAAUCGAAUUUGAGGUGAGACCAUGAAAUCAAGAAGGAUAGCGAUUAGAAGAAGAAAAAAGGAUGAGGAUGAAGUAGUGAGAGUACCGUGAGAGAGUGUUGGAGAGCAAGACGAUGUCGUUUUGUAAGAGAGAGAUUGGGGGAAGCGCUCGUCAAAUUUUGAAGCUUUGAGAGAGAACACAGAAGAAUUAGGAGGAGACUGAAAGCGGGUCUUUUUGUACCGGACCCCGGAAGAAAAGCGGGUUAGAAUCCAGAGUGAGACGACGUCGUUUUGCGAUAUUUUUUAUUUUCUUUUUGUUAUUUCUCAAAAAAAAAAAAAUUGUGAUCCUAAACUCAUUAAUUGCUAUAUGUAAUCGACAUGAAAUCAUGAGUUAGAACUUGGUUACAUAGAUAAAUUUUGAGAAAUAACCUUGUUUAGGUCCUCAAAUUGAAUUUUAACCUUUUUUUUAUUAGUUGAAAAAUGACCAUACAGAGAGAUCAAAUAUCUUAACUACCCUAUUAAAACCUGCUUUUUACAUUUCUGAAUUUUCACGAGUUACAACUCCGCUCUCCUCAUUAUUCUUCUCAUACUCAUCCAAGGCACUGAUGCAACAAUUUGCAAUAAAACAAUUGUUUCUGAUUAAAUUAAAUUGAAACAACUACAUCCUACACGACCUCGAUAUGGUGAUCUUUACGAGGUCCCAAGCUCUGAAAUUUUAUGGAGCGGGAGAACACAAUUUUUUUCUUUUUAUACAAUAUAUUAGGUUUUAUUUUUACUUGUUUACCGAUCAAGAUAACAAAAGGACGACUAGAGGUGCCUUAAGAUUAUUCCUCAUCUGCUUGAUAAUAAUCUGGGCAUUUGUGAUAUGAUUGUUAUGUGGAGAAACCUGCUAUGAAGGUUACUGAUUUAAUUGGAAAAUCUAUGAAUUUUUUUAAACAAACUAGUGUAUUUGCCAGCCAAAACUAGUCGAGACAGCUAGCUAUGAAAUUCUUGUUAGGAAGAAAUAACUGUUUCGAGUUGUGACUUGUUUAGCUCUCCAUGAUUUGCAAAAAAGGGGAAAACCUGCUUUGUUAUGAUUUAACCUCUUCAUUAUAAACAUAUAUAUGUACUGGUGUAGCAAAUGGAACAAUAUCUGAGAUAUAUGAUGCAAGUGUCUGUUAUAUCAAAGAUGUACAGCAAAUUAUUUUCUAGCUUACUUUUAAGUUGUCUUGUUCAGCUUAAUCAUCAGUAUACAUAUGAGCUUUGCAAGUAUGUUGUCAUCAACAACAUACGAUGGUGCAACUUGAGAGUCUCUUUAUUUUCAUGAGUUUUGGUAGAUGAAUUAUAUAUAAUUCUAAAAAGGGUAAUUUAGACUUUUAGUCUUUUUAUAUGGUUAUUUUUAACUAAUAAAAAAAAAGGUUAAAAAUCAAAUUGAGGACCUAAAACUGGUCAUUUAUCAAAAUUUCUCGGUUACAUACGACUUUGGUGAUUACAAAAUGUAAUACCUUUACUCUGAAGUUUCAAGUUUAAGUUUUCAUGUAGAACUCAAAAUAUAUAAUUGGAGUCGUAAUUGUUAAAAUAGAUUUGUAUUGAGAAAAAUUAUUAGUCACAUACUCACAUUAUGUUUAGGGUAAUUGAGGCACUUCGAUCUCACUUUCAAAACAAAUCGUUACACAUUUCUGAUCUCUUCAUAAUUAUCCUUAUCAUCACCGUCAUCGUCCUCCCUCCCUCAUCUCUUCUCUUCUCUUCUUCUUAAUUUACCAUUUAGUCUUCAAAAUCACAAAAUCAGUUUGUCAAAGCUCAAACAAAUAAACUUGGGUCUAAAAGAAUUUGGGUUUGCACGAGGGUUAAUCAACCAACUGCCAUUUUCAUUCAUAUUUGUAAAAGGUAAAGGUACAUAUGUAAUGUGAAGUAUUAUUGUUCACAAACUCACAAUUUCGUCCUAAGACUUGUUAGUAUGACAGAAUCAACAACGUCCCCAAUAUUUACAUUAGAUCAAGGGACCCAAAAAAGAAGAGGCAAAUGAGCAGAUUAUUUCAUAUGAUAUAUGGGUAUAUACUUCUAGAAUCCUUUCUUUUGUUUAGUGAUAUGAAUAUCAACUGGAGUGGCUCUUUCUUCUCCUUGCCAAGUUUCUUCAGCUCCUUCUUCUGCUGCUACAUCAUCUUCCACCCACUCCUCCGCCACCAACUUCUGCUGAUAGUAUCGGAACGCCACCACCAAUAUGAACGCUGCAACAUUUUGAAUUUCGUUAUCACAUACAUAAUGUAAAUAAACAAUCAAAUGUCUGAAACAUUUACCAGGGUUUGGAUUUGCUUACCUGCCCAAAUUCGCGCUCCGACUGAAGAUAAGUUCCAUACUAGUAGAAAUAUUGCAAUGGUCACUGCUCUCUUGUGGGUGCAGGAGUCCCAAGCAUCCCGAAACCGUCGAACCCAAAAUUUAGCUUCACGUAUUGUACACCAACUCAUUAGGACAUCUGAUAGCUAGAUAUCACUAUAGCUAGCUAGAACAUAUUAGGCAUCAGCUCAUUUCAGCUGUCUUCUCAUCUAUUCACUACUUUACUAAAAGGAAGAAUAGACCUAUUGGGCCAUAUCAUAAACCCAUCAGAUACCCCAUUUAGCAUUGUGGCCUCUCGACCAAUCCCACUCAAAAAUUGAAAAUGACAGGCUGUGAAUUAUAGCCCACAUUGGACGAUAACCAUAGUGAAAUUAUGGUGAGGGGCACUAAGUCACUAACUACUGUUAUUGGGUCAAAAUGAGCAAGGAGAAAAUAGAUGUCAACCCGAUUACUCGGCGAAACUAUCUAGUGGUAAUUAUGUAAAAAUAAAAAUAUUUUACUCAUAAUGGGAAAAUGUGAAGAAACUUUUUAUAUGAAAUUUCACUCGCAUCGGAUACUUUCAUUAUGUAUUACUCGAUCGCCAAUCACUUUAAUGUCAUGCUCGACAAUAGCCUCAAUGUUUUGGACUUUUUUGCUAUACAUAUGUGUAUAAUAUAUAUUAAGGCGUGAGCCGUCCGAUUGUCUUGAAUUUUAAAUUGUUAAACGAUCAGACGGCUCACAUCUUGAUGUAUGUCAUACAAAUGUGUAUAACAGCCGAAUCCUAAUGUUUUAUCUUGUGAUCCGCCGUAAUGUUAAUUUUAGUUCAAUGACCCUACACAUCAUUAAUGUAUGAGGUCAGAUUAACUUGGGCCCCAUCAGAUCCAGACCCAGUCUAAUGAAGCCGUUAUAUCAGUCAAUAAAUAAUGAUGGGCCAACUGGUACUACGUUGGGCCACAUUAGGUAAAAAGAUCAAAGCUGACAGUAAGUUUGUCAAACACAAAGUGCUGCAGCUAACUAUAACAGUGUACAAAUUGAUGCAGUGAAAUUGUGAUAAUGGUAUGCAUGAUGAAGUAACAGAGAAAAUGAUUGCAAGGAAUUUACCGUAGAUUGUUAUUUGGGUAGAAUACAAAGAGCAGACUUUCGGUACGGUAAAAACUCCGAAAAAGCCUGUCAUUGUUAGCACAACCAAGCAGGGGUGUCAGUACUCAGUAGUGUAAAAGUUAAAGAAGGUUCAUACUGGGAGACACAGAGAAUUUUACAGUGUUGUCUCACUGUUUUGGCUUUGGCUGCUGGGAAGAAGCUCCCCAUUAUUACGUUUACUGUUUCACUUUAAUUAUCUUACACUUCUCAAUUAGAGUCGUUAGAUUGAUCAUUAUUUGCGAAAUGUCCUUAAAUACGACUCUAAGAUGCUCUAAAACUUCAGCAAUUUUCAUCUCUAUUCUCAAUUUAAAUAAAAAAAGAGUAAAGAGAAAGUGGAACUUACCUACUUUGGCCAUUGUCCAAAUGGUUAUGGAGCUGCCACACCUGGCCAAAACAAAGAGCAGCACUGCUAACUGCCAAUAUAUACAAUAUGUAUGAUCAUCUGUCUAUAUCCUUUUAAUUUAUUUGCAGAAAAAUAAAUAGAUAAAGAGAAAAUGAAUUUAGAAAAAAGUAAGAGGAAGAAGAAAGAAUCAUACCUUAAUAGUGGUGGCAGGGUCACCAGAAAACAAAGCUUUAAACUUGAGCAGGAACUCAUUCAAGUAAGGCAGGACCAGUUUGAGAAACCAAAUUGCUUCUUCUUCACCCACCACAGUGGUUGCAUUAUCUAUUUCAUAAGCUCCCCUGACAUUAAAAUUUCCAUAAAGCAAGGAAAAGAAUCAGAAAGAGAUCAACUGGGAAAUGUAUGCUAAUAUCAACAUGUUCAUAAUAAUGGCUGCAAAAUCAAGAAAUUUUACCUGCAGAUUAUGGACCUGAAGAGGAAUUUGACAGCCAGAUAAACAAGGCUCAUAUAUGAUAUCACAGAAAUGAAGCUGUAGACCAAGAAUCAAAACAAGUAUUAGAGCAGAAUUUAAGCUGGGAUAGAACAUUUUUCAAAUGCGAUUUUGCUUGCCUGAUAUUUAGAUCCUUCAUGUAGGAGGAUGAUAGUAUCACAAAUGUUCCAAUUCCAAAUAUAAAAACUGAUCUUGAUACAUCUUUCCACAUUACUAAAUCCACUGCAACAACAACAACAAAAAAGCAGAAAAAUUAAUUCUUUGAACAAAAAGAAACUGAUGUAGAAAGUGGAAUUCAAUAAAUUAGGAAUGAGAACUCACCUAAACUUUGCAAUUUGCUAUGUGUUUCUGGGAAGCUAUGGUACUGAUCAUUUGAAGCUGCAUCUAAUUAGUACAAACAGAACAAUCCAGGCUCAAUUCUAAGUAUAAGAAGAAAAAGAAACAUAAUUUACAAGAGAAGAAGAACUUACAUGAUGUAUGUUUAGGGACAUAUGAGUAGACUGCUGCACGUCUCAUAACAGGAGACUGUUUUUUCAGAUCAACGGAGAUGGUUUCUGCCUUUUGAUGAACAUGUUGAAUCUUUUUCACUUCUUGAUUUCUUGAUCUGCGGUCAAAUAAUUGGAACUUCUUAACUUCAUUCACUACCUUCACUUCAUUCACAACCUUCCUCAAUUUCUCUUGAACCGGUGCUCUCUCUUGAACUGGAGCUUUUUCUUGAACUGGUGCUCUCUCUUGAACUGGAGCUUUUUCUUCAACUGGUGGUUUCUCUAGUACUGGUGCAUUGAUUUCCUUGACAUCAACGCUUAUCUUUUCAACUUCAACCUCAAUUUCCUCAUCCACCUCUUCCUCCAAUUCAUCUUCUUCAUCUUCAUCACCAUCUUCAUCAUGAUCCGCAACAUCAUUCACCAAUUCUGCUGAAUCAGAUUUCACCACAUCCACAUUGCUUGGGAUCACCAUUUCUUUGCACACACCAAACUCCUUGCAAUUCUCAUCAGAUUCACACUCUCCAAUCUCCUCCUCAACUGGGAUUUUCUCAAUCACCUCAACACAAUUCUCAACUCCCUCAUCUAAUUCAUCUGGGGAGGCCUUAUUCGACUCUGAUUUCACCUUCCUCAACUGAAUUGCAUUGCUAGAAGAAUCACUCCCCUUUAUUGACUCUGAUUUCACCUUCCUCAACUGACCCAAAUUCUUCUCAGUUCCCUCAUCCUUACCCAAAUCACAGACACUUCUCACCGAUUCAAUCUUUGUCUUCCUACUCCCAACAGGGCUUGAAGCAACACCAUUUUGACUCUCCUUGCUUCCCUCAGAUCUAAUCCUCCUCACAGACCUCACCUGAGUCGGACUGUUCUUGAUCCCAUCAACAGAAACACUCAACUCUUUACACUUCUCAUCAGGACUCUUCAACUCAGAUUUGCCUGUACCAGAAUUCCAUGUCUUUCUCUUGCCAUUGUUGAGAGACUGAUCUCUCUUCAGCUUUGCGCGAGGAGUUAACGUUGUUGCAGCAACACCAUUACUACUACUCUCCUCAGAAUUCUCCUGAUCACCAUUGAAGACCUUAAUUCCACCUCUGACUUCAUCAAGCUUCAUCCUGCUCUCCCACACUGACCCUGCAACCACACUGUUCCCAGUUCUGAGUACUCCUGCUGCAUCUGAUCUCCUUCUACCCACAUCCAUUGCCUUUAUAUUUCUACCUUAUUGGCAGGUGAUUCUUCUCUCUGUUUCACUUUCUAGCUUGCAAUGAGUACAAUGGGACAUAGAGAUAGUAAGAAUAAUUAUGGAAGAGAAAGCUUUAAGCAGAAGAAAUGGCGGUUGGUGGGGGGAAAAGAGUUGGGAUCCCUUUGCCUCCGGAAAAGCAAAGAGAGCAGAGAGUACUGGAAAAUUGUGGUAUUUGUAAGAAGGGAGGGACUCUGAGUCACUAGCUGGACACUGCCGUGGUAAAAAAUAUGUAAUGAUGUUACUGAACUAUUUUCUUUGUUUUUACCAUUUCACAAUUUGAAUUGAAUUAUUUGAUAACUAAUCAAAUUAGACUGCUUAAUUGUUUGCACACACCAAACUAGAUAUAACAUUAGUUUGAUCAAGUUGUAAGUUGUAACGAUAUUAGUACAGUAAUCACACUCGAACGUUUAUAUAUUGAGUGUGGCUUAAGAAAGUAAAAGUGAAAAGGUGAGAUGAACACGUAUAUGGUGUGGUUGAAUGAUUAGGGAUAUAAAGGGCAUGUGUUAAGGAUGAUCUCUUUUGUUUUUUUUUUUUUUUUUUUUUUUUUUUCUUGGGGAGGAUGGCCAGAAUUUGAUUCCCUAAUGUAGCUUUUGUGUUGGAGGAUCUCUAUGAACACCAUGACCGAUGCAAACCAAAAAGUCAUCAACCUCACCAAGCCAGCCUCACAUGCAAAUGGAAGAUCAGAAACGUUUCCUAGCUAGCUUCCUAAUUUCAGAGAGAGGUGGGUUUUGGAAGGUAGCGUGUGGUGAUUUUUCGGAGGUAGUUUCAGGUAAUAAUGGCAAACACCUUCAUCUCCAGCUUUUGUGUUCAAGGUGUUAACGUGAUCCUGUUCAUCUUUGCUCCAUAUAUAUGCAAAGUUUGCUUCUUUUUCUUUUUUCCUUUUUCCCUUUUCUUCUCUAGCUACUUGGAUAAGUAGGGAAAGGCCGAAAGGGAUAUAUGAGUAUUAGGAACCUUCAUAGUUUGCUCAUAUAUAUGACAGUAGCUACUUGAUCUAUCUAUAUCAGCACCUGCGGUUCUAUAUAGAACUAAUUAAGGAUUGACUCUAUUGUCAGCUAUUGCCUAUUAACAUUGUAGUUUGCCCUAAUUAGAUGGGGUUUGUUUUUCUAAAACAAUUUCAUCACCUACAUUAUAAUUGGAAGCUGCAUAUAUGAAAGCCACUAAGUACUUUUGGGAGCUAGGCUGAUAAAAUCAUAGUGCUACUUGAUUAUAAAUUGCUUUGCCAAGCAUAAUUAGAGGUAGGUUAGUAUUAUAUAAGUGUAGCUUUGGUGACAUGGUUUAUUCCCUCUAACUAUCAUAAUGUUGUUAACGCAUGCAGCCUAGCUUAUUACGCAUAAUUGGCACUUCCAAUUAGUACGUGAAAGACGCAUAUGGAUAAACGCAAGCUAUUAUUUUAGCUGAAGAAGAUGCAGAUUUGGAAUCAUGCACUAGAAUAAUGCAAUUGCAUGAUGAUCGGAUUAGUGGCUCUAUAUGUGAAUAAUGUGCACAACUUAUUAGGAGGAUCGAUCAUACAAUGAAUUUAUCUGAAUAAUAGAUUGAAAUCGACAAGGGCCCUGCGAAUGAUUAAUUGGCUUUUGAGGACUGAUGUUGCUCAUCGAGAAGGAUUCCCGAACACACCUAAAAAAAAAAAAAAGAUGAUUCACGUACACAAUGAUUUACGUAAAAUAGAGAUACACAUAUACAGAAGAUUCCUCUGAAUUGUUUGCGAGCACUAGUUAAGUUACAUAAGUUUCUUCCUAAAUAUGGAUCGGAGUUCGAUCAUAACCUUCUUUGGUUUGUGGCAAUUGUAAUAACCUGAUUUAAGAAUCGGCAUGCGAGUCCAAAUCUCAUACGUAGUACGUACGUAGUAGAGAUACACUCAGUCUCAGACCUCAGACGGCGACAAGUUUCAAGUUUCAACUCAAUGUCACCGACGCACCGAUAUCUCUCUCUCUCUCUGCAUCCCUUUCUCUCUCUAGAAAAACACUCACCGACACUACACACUUGUUCAUCUGUUAUUGCUUUGAAGAAUAUAAAAGGUUAAAACUAACGACAAGAAAAGAAAAAGGAAGAGAAGCAUAUAUAUCAUGUGAGUGGAAGAAGCCUAAGCAAAUUUGAAUACAGUAAUACUACUGCAGUGUUUUCAACUCUUGCAUCUAUUAUUCAAUGCAGCAUAUAUAAUUGGGAAAACAGUAAACAUUAAUCAGAGGUCAGCCUCUGGGGAUUUGGUUACAGAAAAAACUAAUGGUAGAAAACCUUGACAGAAUAGUUUUGGGAUUGAAAGAGAGAAGGGAAUCAUAGUUAGCUGAGCUAGCUGUGCAUAACAACAAUAUGAAAUUCUGGGCAGGCUGAGAGGAGCUGCAGUCUUGUAACGUUGAAGGCACGUGAGGUGAUUUGCUCGACGCUCGAGGCACAUAUUGUUCUAACUCCAUAAACAUUAUAUUACUGAGAAUCCCACCACCCAAAACCAGUGUACAUGCCAUCCCUGAUCCGAUAACAACCAGUUUAAUCUUACUCUAUAGUUUUGAAAAUCGGACCAAAACCAAACUUUCAUACCCUGGUUUACUUUCAUCCAUGAGCUAAAAGAAAAAGAAAAUUACCUUUAUCAGCUUUUUCCCUUUCAGGUAAAACUUAAACCAAUUAUGAACACACUUGUAAGUUGCAUUAAACAAAGUAACAGACUGGCGGAUGGUAAAUAGUAUAGUCAUAGUAGAUAACUAGAUAUGGCAUAGCUAGCGUUAAUGACACGACCCACCCCGAAUUUCACCCUGAAACCCAGGUAAGUCGUGCGGGGACCACCUCCAAGGAAAAUUUACUGAAAAGAUUAAGAAAAUCUCCCUUGUAGAUGGACAACCCUAACUCGAAAAUUUCAUAUUACACUUCUGAACAUCACAUAAUAUACAAAAAUUAUAAAGUAUUCAGAGCUACUAAACACAAGCGGAAGCAAGAAAACACGAGUAGGUUGAACAGGUAACCUACUGAUGAAAACUGGCCGAAAGCGGGUGACUAUGCCUCGUCUCCUACUAGAUCCAACCCGAA
rnacentral:lncRNA from 1 species